rnacentral:lncRNA from 1 species
GACCUAUAUAUAAAUUUGAUACUUGGCAAUAAUUUCCAUUUAGCCUUAUUUCAAUGUUACGCUUAACAACAGAAAUCCAAUCACUGGGCAUUAUUUUAGCUUGUUCAUAUUUUAGGAGUUAAUAUCUAGGUUUGAUUGAAUAGGCUUCACAACAGAACAUGAGUCCUUCUCUAUUAUAACUGUCCUGAUUGUAUUUUGCAUGAGGUCCUCUGUGGUUUUUUUCUUUUUGGGGCCACAUCUUUAGUAUUUGCAGUUUCCUAUUUAGAAUUUCAACCCUUUAGCGAAUUCAGCAAAACUGGCAAGUCUCAUACAUUCCAGCCAAAAGCUUUUAAAUGAAGAUCAGUUGCACUCCUUAGAAUCAUGUGAUAUAAGCGUAUGGGAAAAAAUUGACACUGAGGCACUAUACAUUACAUGUGAUGAAUAUAUCUAUUUAUUCCUCUUUCUUGGAUUACUGUUCACAACCAAGUAAAGCAGCAUGGAACACUGUCUUAACCUGAUAUUUUGGUCUCAAAUGCUACUCUGAUCAAUAUCCUUUCAAAAUUCAAAAUUCUACACAUAAUUUCAACUCUUAAGCCACCCUUUGUACCAUAAUAUCGGCACCUAACAAAAAAGAGGACCUGCACUCUUUUAACAGAUACAAGCAAUAAGCACUUCACAUGCCAAUUUCCAUUAUCAAGUAAAGCCCUAUUUUUUUCUAUUUAUACGUAAAAAAUUUAUAACAAAAGCAGUACCAAAAAUGUGGAGCAACUGUGGUACAUGGGAAAUAUAUAAGAAACACCGGAAACAUAACCAAACAAAAGCAUAGUGUUUAAGAUCUCUAAAAAUUCCAAAAAAGGACGAGUGAAAAUGAUUUUUUGGAAGAUGAGUACAACAGAAAGACCCCAAACCAAGCUAAGUCCAUUACCAUUCAUCCAUUUUUCAACUAAUCAACACUGCUAAAAUUUUCUUGAACCUAGAACACUAAGCUAUGAAGAAUGACAGACCAUAUUCCAUAGAUCACCAAUCAAAAGGCAUUAUAAGAGAAGAAGACCUAUACAAUCCCCAAUACCCUUGUGCCAUAAAACACCAGCUUAUAAUAAUUUAUUUCUUCUUACCAAAUUUUAUUGUGUUACGAGUUCAACCAAGGAAUAUCAAUUUUAGCAAAUUAUAUCUCAAUCUAUUCAAAUAAUGGCCAAAGGUCAGAUGUCUGUGCAUGUUCAGGUUUUUUUUCAGUUCAAUGGAGCACUUCUUAUACCAAAGAACAUAGGAUAGCAACCAGAAAAAAGGGAAAAAAAAAAAGAUACACAAGUUGCAGCAAUAAAAUAAAGCUUUAUGAAGGAGAACUUUCACUUCAAAACUGAUACUCAGGCUCAGCAAUGGAGUCCAAGAUCUCUUGUGAAUGAUAACAAAUGAUAUAAUGAUAUAACUUAGAAAAUAGAAACCCAAGGAAAAAUCAUCUCCAAAUAUUAAAUUAAUGGAAGUAAGCAAUACCUGGUUUAAUCUCCAAACAUCAGACAACAAGUUUUUCUGGUUCUCUGGAUACAAGCGAGGGAGGAGGAAGGAAAGCGGAACUGAAUUAAUGAUAAUGAAACAUGAUUCUGAAAGUACAUUAAUGCGCUAGACUCUACAAUGAACAACUAACCAGAAUCAACUGCUUUAAUCUCCCUCAUGGUAGCAUCAGCUGACAUCAACGGUUUAAUAAAGAACUGUGCAAAUCUGUGCAGUAAAUCACAGGAAAGACUCAGACUCAAAAACUCAAGUACUGAAAGAUUUGAUACUUAAGAAAAAUGAAAAAUGGCAUGUACCUGUCCAAAGCUUCUUCAAAGGAGUCAGGGUUUACAUCAAAGUAGUAGUUUGUAUGCUCAGAAGAUGUAAACGCAUUUGCCAUUCCUCCAUGCUGUGCAUAAGAAAAUUAAUCCGCGGUGAAAAUUAGAACAACACCUUGCUCGGCGUACUUACAGGGAUUAAUCAAGAAAUAAAGCAGAGAGCAGUUUGUAUUUAUCACUUGAUCACACAACCUAAAAUGUAUGUGCUCAGUUGUGUAAUGACACCCUAGUUUCUACCCCAAAAGAAUUCCCAAGAUAAUCCUUAAAAGAGAACAAAAAGUGCACUCUCCAAACAGACACAUCAAGGAACAUACCAGUGAUACCACCCAUACGCAGGGGGCCAAAUUAAAAAGGAAAUGAUCAAUCUCUGGAGCGAACCAGAUUUCUAUAAAUAAUGCAAAUAAAGCUCAAGACAGGGAAGCAAAACUACAUGAAAGACAUACUUCAGUACUUCUGCUACCAAAAUAUGAAUGCGCCAAUCAAAACAGGACACCUGUACCAAGGACCUAGGUAGGAGGUAUUCCUUUAUCCCGUAAAGAAGAUUACAGGCCAUAAUAAUCACCCACAAACCAUCUUUCCUACAAGGUCACUAGAGUUGCUUCCCCAAUAUAUUAUAUAUCAAAAUUAAAAAUAAAAACAAAUUUCAGACUCCGGAUUCCUCUUCACAUUUCUCAAACUGUAUUUAAGAUCAAUGUUAACCAUAAACAAUACCAAACCACCACCCAAUGACUCUACUAGAAAACAUAAGCAAAGAUAGGAUGUGGAAUCACAACUAGUCUUAGGAUGAAUGCGCCAAUCAAAACAGGACACCUGUACCAAGGACCUAGGUAGGAGGUAUUCCUUUAUCCCGUAAAGAAGAUUGCAGUGCCAUAAUAAUCACCCACAAACCAUCUUUCCUACAAGGUCUCUAGAGUUGCUUCCCCAAUAUAUUAUAUAUCAAAAUUAAAAAUAAAAACAAAUUUCAGACUCCGGAUUCCUCUUCACAUUUCUCAAACUGUAUUUAAGAUCAACGUUAACCGUAAAUAAUACCAAACCACCACCCAAUGACUCUACUAGAAGACAUAAGCAAAGAUAGGAUGUGGAAUCACAACUAGUCUUAGGAUGUGCUUUCAACAACCCGUAGUAAGGCUGUGGUCAUUAUUCACUAUUGCAAUAUUACCUAAAUCAUCACCCUGACACUAUGCAAGAUCAGUAACCUAAAGACAUAAAAUCUAAAGUAAAAAGGAAAUUUCUGGCACAAGUUGUCUCAAGUAUCAAAAGACAGCUUGAGAGGAUCAUGUUCACAAUGUAAUUCAUAAUUUUUCACUCCAGCAUACAUCAGUCAAUGCAUGGAAAGUCCACAGCAUCACUUAGAACGGUAAGAAUACAUAUUGACAAUUAAAGUAUUUUUUUCGACUACAUUACCAAACAUUAUCAAAUCAUAUCACAAGAAAUUGAUAGACCACCGUGCCAGCGAACUUUCUAAACCCUUGUUGAAUAAACUGACUACAUCUAAAUCCAAUCCGGUUAUGGGUCAGCUCCACAGAGAAAAGAACAUAAAUGGAGUCAUCACCCCAUUCCACAAUAGAACAAUCCAUGGCUGUAAAUUUAAACAAGAAUACCUUUUCCACUUCCAAUCACUAAGAUACAAUCUGACCGCAAUGGCUUGCAGGAAAAUAGAGGAAUGUAAUUAAAACUAAAACUCCCAUCAGCCCUACAAAUCAAGUGAAGAAUUUGCUUCAGGAUUUUGUUUUUAGCAAACACCUGAUUAACAAAAAAGUUAAGAUUUUCCUCUGGAGGGAAAAUGUGUCUUUUUAGUCAGUUAUAUUCCAAGGGAAUAGCAUUCAAAAUUUUUUUCCUUGUCUGUGUAUCUCGCCAACUCCAUCCACUUCUAGUUAAAGUCUAUUAUUAGUAUCAAAGAGCAAGAUUAAGCAUAAAGCAUGAUUCUCUGAAACUUUUACUUAAGAAAACAUACUAGAAAUAAGUGAAACAGGACAUUAUUGAGGGCCAAUACCUCUGAUAUGUACUUUAAAUAGCUAUCCUCCACUGGAUAUUUCUCACUAGCAUAAAACAGCAUAUGCUCUGCACAUUAAAGAAACAGGAAAACAGUAACUAAAGCAAGUUAUAAAUACUCGAACUCAUUAAACAGGCCACAGAAAUUGUCCCCUACAGCCAUAUAAUUAUCUAACUACAGCUAAAAGCAAUAAUAAUGUAGAAUAGGAGAGUAAAAGAAUCAUCCAAUAAAUCACCACACAACAGAAUUCAAAAAAAAAAAAAAAUAUCAAUGACAAUAGCAAACAGUGAAAAGGGAAAAGAAAGUAGGCAAAUUAGGAAGAGAUGAAAGAACCGAGAAUGAAACAAUGCUAUAACUUUAACAGGAAAUAAACAAGCCUGAACAUACAAUGAAGAAAUACUUGAACCAAAAAGAAAGUACAAGUGAAACUUCUAAUUCUGUUUAACUCUUUCUACUCUAAUUUCAAUAUGAGCAACACAUUGUAUUUUAAUCUGUGAUCAGCCGAAAACACGUUUAGAGUCAUCUCACAAAAACCCAUCCCCUUUUUUUUUUUAAGUAACUUCUACAAUUUACAUUCAUACAAGACUAAAAUUUCCCAAAUCACGAAUUCAAAUUUGCCACAAGAUACAUUAAAUAUACCGAGAAAAUGGGCAAGGCCCUCGAGACCAACAGGGUCACAAAAGGCGCCAACGCUGACAUUCAUUGAAGCAGCACACUGAAGCAAAAACAAUAAAACAAACCAAACCCACAAGAUUACUAGCUUAAAUUAAACUGAAAAAAAAAUUUUAAAAAUUUGGGUCUUGCUGGUUACCUUAUCGGCAUCAGGAUCGCUGAUCAAAAGGACAUGAAGAGAGUUUUUAAGGACGAGUCUCCGGUACUGUCUCUUGUCCGUACGUGGCUUUAUAAUCUCUACGUCAUCUUUACCGACAGCCAUUUUUUCAGUCUCUUGCAGAAGAGAGAAACAAUCGUUUUGGCUUUAUAGGGAUCCACAAGUGAAAUGACCGAGACCAAGACUUUAUUUUUUAUUUUUUUAUAAAAAGACCAAGACGUUUUUGCUCGAGUCUCCUGUGCUUUUGUGUUGUGGCUGUCACGGAUAUUUGCUUCCUCAAUAAAUAUGUGACAAAUUUCACAAACCUGCCUUAAAGAGAGUUAGUUAUUGACUUACUUUGACCAAAACGACGUUAUUAGUUAUGUGGUUGUAAGAGAAUCUUUUAUACACAUAAAAAAAAAAUAAUAAUAAUAAUAAUAAAAAGAGAAUCUUUUAUACAAUGUCUGGGUCGAUCGCGAUCGAUACUGCAUGAAUGCAAAACAUUCGAUAAACGUAAUGAAGAGAGAGGCUUUACUUCGUCUGACAUGACUUCAAACUAAUUGCUGUUAAAAUUAUCAAACUAUUAUUGCAAAAAAAAAAAAAACAUAUAAUACUGCAAGUUCGAAUGUAAUUUUUAAAUAGGUUUAUUUAACUAAUCAUUCAAGUUCAAAUUUUUGAGAGAGAAAUAAUAUUAUUAAAGAAGAAGAACAUACCAAGUUGUCAAUGGAAAGAACAGUGAGAGUAAAGAUAAACAUUAAAUUAGAGAAAAGAUUAUAAAAGAAAUUAAUUAUUCGUUUUAUCUAAUCUUCAGCUAGCUUCAUCCUUCUCUGAUUUGAAGGCAAAAAUUUUGUUUAAAUUUGUGGCUGUUGUAUAUUUUGUAAGUUCAAAUGCCCCACCACUCUAUAUUUAAAAAAAUAAAAAAAAUACGAAAAUAAUUUUUUUUGACUAUAUAUUCAUGAUUUAGAUAAUCUUAUGUAGCCUUCUUUUUUUUUUUUUAUAAAUCUAAAUGGGUCUGAAAGCAUAUGUUUGAAUGAUAAUUUUUUUUUUUUUUAAUGUCUAACUGUAAGUGAUAAGUUUUAUACACUCAAAACAUCUUAAAUAUAAUACUUUUAUACUUAUGACCUUGAAAGUGUUAUUUAUAUUUAGUUAAUUUAAAUAGGUAUAUACUUGCAAUGUUAUUUAGUACAAUAGUAUUUAUAUGUUAUAAAUAUUUAUAAGGUAAACAUUUGAUAUAUAAUUUAUGAAAAAUAAUUUUGAUAACAUUAUUUUUUACAAAUUAACAUAGUAUUUAUACAGUAAAAAAAAUUGUUAUCUAAUAAUAAAAGAAUUUGCACAUAUUGAAUGCAUGUUAAGUAAUUAAUACUAAGCAAAAGUUGAGGUCAAGAGAAAUUCUAAUAUGACAUCUAAAUUAUGUUAUAGACAGUUAAUUAAAAAAAAAUUCUUUCGAUUAAAAGAAAUCAAAUGAUUAUUAGGUUUUACAUAAUAGUUAGGUAGAAAAUAAAUUCAUUUGAUGAGAGUACUUGUGAGAAAAAAAAUAAUUUCUCAUUCAGAUAAAAAUUAAAAAAUUUUAUUUUUUCCAUUAAAAUGAAAAUAUCUUAUAAUAAGACUUUAGAUACAAAACCAAACAAGCUAAAAUACCAAAACAUCUUAAAUCAAGUCAAAUUAAGACUUUAGACAUAAAAAAAAAUAAACCCUUACUUUUACUCAUCAAAUAAUGAAACCGUGCACCGCAGACAGCCUACAAAACUCAUCAAAAACGAUUCUAUUCACAACUUAUUAUGAUCAGUACUCGGUAGUUAAGAAUAUUAUUAACUACCCCUUUUUUUAUAAACCAUAAACUAAGAUAAUUGAAACCCACGUAAAGAAACAUUAAUCAAGAAUAUUCCUAAUAAGACGGUUUGCGAACGUACAAAUAUAACAUGAUUUUGUUUUGUGGGACUCUCCGCCUUCAGAUAUUUCUAGGCUUCCCUCUUAUGACGCUAAGGACUCUUGCUUUGUUCUAUUUUAUUUUUCGUGCAAUUCUUGUUUCGCGCGCUGUCAUAGCUUUCUUUCUAUUUUACAAGGAAAUGCUCACUAUUCCUGUUGAUUGAGAUAUUUUGAUGGUCUUAUUAAGAAUAUCAGUCCUCACAUUUGUUGUUAUUGUUGUUCGUUAUAAUCUUGAACUAACAUCCAAACGAAUGAUGGCAAGAUUACUGAACUUCUUUUCAUUGUUAACUUUCUCGUUGAGGCUCAGCGUCGGAGGGCUCCUGCCUUUAAAAAACUCUACCCCUUCAAACUAAGGGUUGGAUCAAUUGGGCCAAGAGACGGGUUGGGCUUGUUUGUCAUUCUUAAAUUCAGCCUAACAUUGAAAUAUGAAAGCACAAUGAAUAAGAAGCAAAGAAAGAAGGAAAAGGAAUACAAUUAUACAAACCUCAAAGAUUCUCUCGCUGAUUUUUUAAGCAUUCGUGAAAGGAACCUAAAUACAGCCUAGGGAACAUAGUGAGCAUUAACCAUUAAAGAAACAUAUAUAUAGCGAUUGAAAAAAAAAAGACUGCUAAUUAAGAAGAAAAGAUCAUGUUGAAGUGUGAGCUGUGAAACUGAUUUCCAGAGACUCAUACGACAUGUCAGUUCAUGAUUGGUACAGAAUACGACUGGUCGGCUAAGAUCAUGCAAAGCCAUACGACAAAGCUGUUUGUUCAUCCAUAUGCGAAUAAGUCAAGCACGUGGUCGUCACAUGCUUACACUUAUUCAAUACGACUUUGCUGAGUGCCGUUUUGGAGCCUUCAUUCAACGUGAAGCAAACACGUGGCUCUGAAGGUCGUUAUGUUCUGUUACAAGAGCAGGAAGAUCUGGUUUUUAUUGACAGAGGAGAGCUGACUGGUGGGGGUAAUUUCUGGGCUCACUUAAGCAUGUAUAUACAGCCUUAAAUGAUGUGGAAUCAGGGUGUGUGAUGCUUGUAACUUCAUCUAAAGACUUGUAUCUUGUUCCUGGUGAUUGAAUAAAGAUUGUUGCUCUGUUCUUCAGAGGAUGCAAGCCAACUCCAAGCUGAACCACUUAAAUCUGUUUUUUUCGUUGGUUGCUGUUCUUUAGUUCCUUUUGUGUAUCUUUUAUUAUUGCUUAAGUAUUUCUUAAUCAAGCAUCAGAGUGUUUAGAUAAAUCUUGGGAAUCUUGGUUGAUUUAAUUCGAUCAAGGUCUAACAAAUUGGUAUCAGAGCCCAACAACUCUGAUUUUUUAUCCAAGAAAUGGCAACCUCUAAGUUUCAAGUAGAGAAAUUUACAAGAGAGAAUGACUUCCAUUUAUGGCGGCUCAAGAUGAGAGCAUUGUUGGUCCAUCAAGGGCUUGAAGAAACACUGGGGGAUCCAAGAUCUGAAAAGAAGCCCAGCAAGCUCAGUGGAGAAGAAAUGCAAGAUGCAUUAGACAAGGCUCAUAGCACCUUAAUCUUGAGUCUGGGUGAUGGAGUUCUGAGGGAAGUUGGGGAUCAAACAACUGCUGCAGGCCUCUGGAAGAAAUUAGAAGAUCUCUAUACGAAAAAGUCUCUAACCAAGAGACUUUGCACCAAGAAGAGGCCGUAUACAUUGCAGAUGGAGGAGGGUAGCUCUCUGGCAAAUCACAUUGAUAACUUCAACAGAAUCAUUCUUGAUCUUGAAGAUAUCAAUGUGAAACUGGAAGAUAAAGGAAAGGCAAUAAUCUUGUUAUCAUCUCUCCCACCUUCCUAUGAACAUUUCGUGGACACUUUACUAUAUGGAAGGCAGUCAAUAACCAUGGCUGAUGUGAAAGACUCUCUCAGUUCAAAAGAGGUCAUAAGGAAGUCAGAAGUAAAAGAUGGUGAAGGCUUGACAGCAAGGGGUAGACCAGAGAAGAAGGAUUAUAGUAACAAGAAUAGAAACACAGCAAAUCAAAGUCAAAGAAUAAAAGUCUGAAAUGUUUCCAGUGCCACAAAGAGGGACAUUUCAAGAAAGACUGUCUAGAGAGAAAGAACAAGAAAAAAGAUGGACCCAAGAAGAAUAGAGAUGUUGUUGUUGCAUCAGAAGAAAAGGAUGAUGAAGGCUAUGACUCAGCUGGUGUUCUUCUAGUCACUGGAACUCAAACCAAUGGUAAGUGGGUGUUGGAUUCUGGAUGCACUUAUCACAUGUGCCCUGAUAGAAAUCUUUUUUCCAGUUAUAGAUUUUUUAAUGGUGGGGAAGUUAUGAUGGGAAACAACUCACUUUGUAAAGUGGUUGGACUUGGAACCAUUAGGCUUAAAAUGUUUGAUGGGGUGAUUAGGGAAUUAAGUGAAGUAAGACAUGUUCAUGAGCUAAAAAGAAACUUAAUAUCACUAGGAAUCCUUGAUCAAAUAGGCUGCAUCAUUAAAAUGGAAUCUGGGAUUAUGAAGAUAAUUAGAGGGUCCAUGGUGAUAAUGAAGGGGGCCAAAAAUAAUGGCUUGUAUGUGCUGUAAGGGACAACCAUUACAGGGGAUGUUAGUGUCUCAACCAGUAAGAAUCCAAACAAAACACUAAUGUGGCACAUGAGAUUGGGGCAUAUGAGUGAAAGGGGGAUGAAGAUAUUAAAAAAACAGGGAGUCUUGAGGGAUGAUAAGAUAAGUUCUGUUGAGUUCUGUGAGGUAUGUGUCCUAGGAAAAUCCUCUAGAACUAGCUUCAAAACUGCAGUGCAUAAGACCAAAGGAACCUUAGAUUACAUCCACUCUGAUCUGUGGGGACCAGCACAGACAACUUCUUUAGGUGGAGCUAAAUAUUUCCUAUCCUUGAUUGAUGACUAUUCUAGAAUGGUUUGGGUGUAUCUCUUAAAGAGUAAAAAUGAAGCCUUUGAGAAGUUUAAGCAGUGGAAAGCACUGGUAGAAACACAAACAGGUAGAAAAGUCAAGAGGCUAAGGACUAAUAAUGGUUUAGAAUUUUGCAAUUAACAAUUCAAUGAUUUCUGUGCUCAGAAUGGAGUUGUAAGACACAAGACAGUAAGACCUACUCCACAGCAAAAUGGACUUGCUGAGAGGAUGAAUAGGACUCUCAUGGACAAAGUAAGAUGUCUGCUAAUUCACUCAAAACUUCCUUAAUCCUUAUGGGCUGAGACACUUAUGAUAGCUUGCUAUUUAGUCAAUAGAAGUCCAUCCAGUGGCAUAGACUUUAAAACACCUAUAGAAAUGUGGUCAGGCAGAGCUGCUAACUAUUCUGAUUUGAAGAUAUUUGGCUGCCCAUCAUUUGCACAUGUAAAGCAAGGAAAGCUUGAGCCUAGGGCUCUGAAAUGUGUCUUCCUUGGAUAUCCUGAGGGUGUGAAGGGCUAUAGGCUAUGGUGUACUGAUCUUAAACCACCCAGGUGCAUAGUCAGUAGAGAUGUGAUUUUCAAUGAACAGGAAAUGCUUAAGAGCUAUAUGCAGAAGCUUGAAAACUCAGACAAAAACACUGGUGUACUGAGAGAUCAGAUUAAGGUGGAGCUUACUGGAAAUCUGGAGAUACAACUUCAUAUGAGACAUCAGAAGAUGAGGAAAGAGAUGCAGAAGAUUCUGAUGAAAUUUCAGAAAAACAAACAACAUUGCAUGAUUAUCAGCUGGCCAGGGAUAGAGAAAGGAGAGAGAUAAGGGCACCAAAGAAGUAUGCAUAUGCAGAUCUGAUUACAUAUGCAUUAACAGCAGCUCAUGAACUGGAUUAUGAUGAACCUAAAACCUACAAGGAAGCUGUUUCAGGGAAAAAUACAGACCAGUGGUUGAAAGCCAUGAAGGAAGAAAUGGAUUCUUUGUAUAAGAAUGACACCUGGACACUUGUGAAAAAACCAGACAAGAAAAAGGUGGUAGGAUGCAAAUGGGUGUACAAACUCAAGCAAGGUAUCACAGGAGUGGAACCAGUGAGAUUCAAAGCCAGACUUGUUGCAAAGGGCUUCACUCAAAAGGAGGGGAUUGACUUUACUGAGGUAUUUUCACCUGUAGUGAGGCAUGCCUCUAUAAGAAUCAUCUUGUCACUGGUGGCUGUAAACAACAUGCAUUUGGAACAAAUAGAUGUAAAAACAACAUUCUUACAUAGGGAAUUACAAGAGUACAUAGUAAUGGCUCAGCCUGAAGGAUUCACAGUCAAAUCAAAGGCUGAUUGGGUUUGUUAUCUGAAGAAGUCUCUCUAUGGACUUAAACAGUCCCCAAGACAGUGGUACCUCAGGUUUGAUAGCUUUAUGUUAGAGCAGAAAUUUCAAAGGUGUAACUUAGACUGUUGUGUUUACUUCAGAGAAGAUUCAGGCAUGAUGGUUUAUCUGGUAUUGUAUGUAGAUGACAUGUUUAUUGCCAGUGUAAGCAUGAGCUUAAUUGAAAACCUGAAACAGAAGCUUAAAGGAGAAUUUGACAUGAAGGAUCUUGGUCCAGCAAAGAAAAUUCUGGGAAUGCAGCUACACAUGGAUAGAAAAGCUGGCACUUUGUUUCUCAGUCAGGAAGAAUACAUCAGAAGGGUAAUUGACAAGUUUGGAAUGGCAAACUCAAAGCCAGUUCAAACACCCUUAGCCCCUCAUUUCAGAUUAUCAGAUCAGUUGUGUCAAAAAACAGAAGCUGAAAUAUCUGAGAUGAUAAAUAUACCUUAUGCAAGUGUUGUAGGUUGCUUGAUGUAUGCUAUGAUCCUAACUAGGCCUGAUUUAUCCUAUGCUGUGAGUGUUGUAAGCAGGUAUAUGACAAACCCUGGAAAGGAACACUAGAGGGCUGUAAAAUGGAUUCUCAGGUACCUAAAUGGGACAGCAACAUAUGGGUUAAUGUAUGGAGGACAGAGACAAGAUGACAGUUAGAUUGUUGGUUAUGUGGACUCUGAUUAUGCUAGGGAUCUGGAUAGAAGAAGAUCACUUACAGGAUAUCUCUUCACACUCAACAACUGUACUGUCAAUUGGAAAGCUCAACUGUAGAGUGUUGUGGCACUUUCAACCAUAGAAGUUGAAUACACAGCUACUGCAGAAGCAGUCAAAGAAGUCAUCUGGCUGAAAGGAAUGCUUAAAGAACUUGGUGUUGACCAGAGGUCGAUAAUGAUAAACUUUGACAGCUAAAGUGCUAUAUGUCUGAGCAAAAAUCAGACACAUCAUGAAAAGACCAAGCACAUCGAUAUCAAGUUGCAUUUCAUAAAACUAGAAGUGUUGAAAGUAACAGUGAAGUUGCAGAAGAUUCAUACAGACAAGAAUGUUGCAGAUAAGCUGACUAAACCAGUUAUUAGAGCUAAGUUUAAGCUUUACUUAGAUUUAGCAGGGAUCUGUCAGAAUUAAGUGACAGAUAGUUGAAGAGAAGAAUAACAGGUUCAUGAGGGUUUCAAGCUCAAGGUGGAGAAUGUUGAAGUGUGAGCUGUGAAACUGAUUUCCAGAGACUCAUAUGACAUGUCAGUUCAUGAUUGGUACAGAAUACGACUGGUCGGCUAAGAUCAUGCAAAGCCAUACGACAAAGCUGUUUGUUCAUCUAUAUGCGAAUAAGUCAAGCACGUGGUCGUCACAUGCUUACACUUAUUCAAUACGACUUUGCUGAGUGCCGUUUUGGAGCCUUCAUUCAACGUGAAGCAAACACGUGGCUCUGAAGGUCGUUAUGUUCUGUUACAAGAGCGGGAAGAUCUGGUUUUUAUUGACAGAGGAGAGCUGACUGGUGGGGGUAAUUUCUGGGCUCACUUAAGCAUGUAUAUACAGCCUUAAAUAAUGUGGAAUCAGGGUGUGUGAUGCUUGUAACUUCAUCUAAAGACUUGUAUCUUGUUCCUGGUGAUUGAAUAAAGAUUGUUGCUCUGUUCUUCAGUGGAUGUAAGCCAACUCCAGGCUGAACCACUUAAAUCUGUUUUUUUCGUUGGUUGCUGUUCUUUAGUUCCUUUUGUGUAUCUUUUAUUGUUGCUUAAGUAUUUCUUAAUCAAGCAUAAGAGUGUUUAGAUAAAUCUUGGGAAUCUUGGUUGAUUUAAUUUGAUCAAGGUCUAACAGAUCCGAACAAUCAUACUAAUUGAAUCUAAAUUUUAGAAUAUCUUUUGUAUCUUGAAAGAAGAAUUUUCAAAAUUAUGAAGGAAUAUGUCCAUAAAAAUCUAAGAGACAACUCAAUAAAACUUCGUGAAUUUACCUUUUUUAGGGUUUUUUUUCCUUUUCACAAAAUUAAAGAUAAGGGUAUAUUUAUCUUCAAAUGUUGUUAGCGGUAGUAUAUUUUUUAACGAAUCUUAAAUAAAACUUGAAAUCCCAAUAAAUUUCUGUAGAUUAUUACAGUAAAAAAAAAGUGCGGCAAUCUACACUAUCAUUUAUCGAAGGCUUUAUGUACACAAAAAUAAAGAACGAACAAGAACAUGUAAAAUCACUGUAGAUUCGUGGAUUACCUGCCAUCUACAAUCAUAUUAAACUUCUGAUCAUUAAUUUCAUUGUCUAUUACGUUAAAUGCAAACACUAAAUAAAGUCGAUCUAAUUUGUUGAAGACCUAUAAAUUGCAUUAAUAAUAGCCUUUUUUUUAUGUCUCCUUAUCAAUUUCAAUGUAAAUAUUUCCAGCAUCCCCUAUAAACCAUGUACCAUUUCCAUGAUAAUUCAAUAUCAAGAAAACUUCAUAUGAUUUAGCAUAUCACAUGCCCUAUCAAUCAAGGUCAACCUUCUAGACGAACUUUUUUUUUUUAAUGGAAAAGUAAAGCUUUCAUUACUUCAACCCGGUGAAUACAUGUCUAAUCUUAGGUGAGAAAUUUUCCACCCAUACAAAAGAUUCCAACUUUUCCAGUGCUAUUUUAGCUAAAAGAUGGGCACUAGUAUUACAAGCUCUGGGCACAUAUUUUGUUUCGAAAGAACUGAAGGUUUUCUUUAAGCUUUGAAUUUCUGAAAUAGUCCAACAUAUCUAUGUUAAACUCCUUUCUCUAUCGUUUAUCGAAUCUACUACUUCUUGAGAGUCUGUUUCCAGAAUUAUUGAUUGCAUACCCAUCUAAUGGGCUAUUUGCACUCCCCAUUCAGCUGCUUCUGCCUCCACACUUGACACCUCUCCGCUGAACUUUACAUUUCUUAUGCCUACAACUAUGCAUUUUCCAGUAGAGUCUCUUAUUAUUGCACCUAAUCCAGCAUAACUCUUAUUUGAAUCAGUAGCUGCAUCAACAUUGAUCUUUAGCCAUCCAUGGGGUAGGGGAGUCCAAACUGUUUUCUUUGUCUUCUGUAAUUUUUCUUCAUUCGUAAUCUCUGGAAACUAAGUUCUUCUGAAAGCCUUAUUAAUUGCUUUAGCUUUGGCCAUUGAUAAUCUUGGUCUAACUUCAAAUCUUCACAAACAAAUUGGUUUCUAUCAUACCAGAUCACCCAAAGGAUAUUCAUCAUCAUUUCCAUGUCAGCUCUACUUAGCUUCUUCUGUAAUCUCAUUAAGUCUCCUAAAAUAUUAGGAUUUCCCAUUUCCUGAAAGGAACUUGCCAGAGGUGAGAGUUGUCAAACUUUCUUUGCAGCUUUACAAGUAAUCAGAGCAUGCAUGGUGUUUUCCACUCUAUUUCCACAUCGUUUGCAAUAGGCUUCAUGAACAAUCUUUCACUUCCACAAAUUUUCAGCUGUGGGCAAUAAAUUUUUUACUACCCUCUAGAUGAAAAUCUUGAUUUUGGCCGGGAGAGUGAGCUUUCAAAUAAAACUCCAGUUACUACUACUACUGUUAGAGCAAUUAAGAGAAUCUGGAAAUUUUAAAUUUAGAGCCACUUGGUAUCCACUUUUCACUUUAUAUUUCCCUCUUUUAUCGUAGUGCCAGAUUACUUUAUCUUCACUUUGUCUUCUAGGCAAGGGAAUGCUUAGAAUGGCUUCUGCAUCUUCCUUCACAAAGUUCUGCUGAAUCAGAUUUGUCUUCCAAUUAUUUUCGUUAUCUACCAGCAUUGAAGCAUCUUUAUUCUAGAAAGAGGCUUGAAUGUUGAUGGUCUUGGAAUCCAGUUGCCUCUGUACACUGAAAUUUUCUCCCCAUUUCUUAUUCUCUACCUAUAUCCAUUGUGAAUUAUCUGCCUUCUGUUGAGUGUUAGAAAAUGUAUAUUUAUAAAGGAGAAAAUCGUCAUUUUAUACUUCAAGUUUUACUAACAUUCUUACUUUUAUGUAUUUAAGCUUUUUGUGAUUUAAUUAUAUGUACUUUAUUUUAAUUAAGUAUUUUAUAUAUUUUAGGGGCAUCAUGAUCAUUUUACAAUGAACGAUAGCUCAGACGACAGAACGAGAGCUCAGACUUUUGAACUCAGGACAGCCGAAAACUUUAGGAGGAGCAUAAAAAGAAAAAUGGCACUGUUCACAUGCAUGAUACUAUUCACAUGUACGGUACUGUCCAUGUUACUGUUCACACAUACGGAACGAUGACGUGGAAUUGACCGAUGAUGUGGCAUUGACUGAUGAGGUGUCACGAUUCCAUUGGAGAAAAUUCUUAUGCACUAUUGAUCGGUGACGUGGCAGCAUGUUAGUGGACCAAAAAUCGCGCAUACGGUACAAUAGAUUCAUGCGCUUGAGAGUUUAAUAAAAUUGGCACAAUAAGUUUUUGGCGCCGUUUCCGGGGAGGUAAGUUAUUUUAAUUUGUAGAAUUAAUUUUUGCAAAUAAUUUCUUUUAAUUGUUUUCUUGUAAUUUUUUUCUUAUUAAAAAAAAGAGUAAAUCUGCAUUUUGAGGUAAGAAUUUCUUUUCUUUUUCUCUUCUUUAAAUUUUUGUAAUUUAAUUUUCAAGUUAUUUUUCUUUGUAAUUUUUCGUUAUCUUAUUAAUUUAUUUCAUACAUUUUUUUAGUGUUUUUUUAUAGAAAGAUUUUAACAGCGUGAUAAGGUUAGUAUUGUAAUUUCUCCUUAUUUUUAUUUUUAUUUAUUUUGUUUCCAUUUAUUUUUUUGUUCUUUACAUGCAUGGUCGAAAGUCAUUAUUACCUAAUCUUGAACCUAUAGACCUUGAACUUGAAAAAAUAUUUCGCACACACAAAUACGUUAAAAAAAAUAGAUUUGCAACAACAACCAUGACCACAGGAGAUGCCAUUUAAGGACUAUUUCAGUCCCUUAGCUAAUUUGAGCACAUUAUGCAUAAGAUACCCAAAUGUAGCUGCUAGGAAUUUUGAAUUAAAACCUAGUGUGCUAAAUUGUCUCCCAACAUUCUAUGGCCUAGAAAAUGAGGACCCAUAUAAUCAUUUGAAUGAUUUUCAUGCUGUUUGUCAAACAUUUAAAUAUGAGAAUUUUUCAGAUGAUUAUGUUAAACUCAUAUUAUUCCCAUUUUCUUUAAAGGGUAAAGCUCGUUCAUAUCUCAAUACAUUGCCUGCUAAUAGCAUUACAUCAUAGGAAAAAAUGGUAACAAAAUCUUUGAAUAAAUAUUUCCCAGUGCAUAAAACCAAUGUUAUUCACAGGGAAAUCUCAGAGUUUACCCAGAGAGAAGACGAGCAGUUUUUCGAAACAUGGGAGUGAUUCAAUGAGCUACUCUUGAAGUGUCCACAUCAUGGGUACGAGAAAUGACACAAAUGCCAAUACUUUUUGAAGGGAUUAUUGCCGCAUGUGCAAGAAUGGCUAAUGGCAACAAGUGGAGGAGAGCUAAUGUCAAAAAGUGCAUAAGAGAUUUGUGAAUUCUUUCAGCGACAAGCAGAUAAUUCCCAAUAACGGAGUCGAUCGCUCAGGAAUACUAAAAGAAUUAAAGGAGUGAAUGAGGUUAACGUUGGUGAGUCAACUUCAGAAAUUAAAGAAGUCAAAGAAAUGGUUGAAGGUCUCUCAAAAAAUAGCAUCGUUAACGAUUGCUAAAUCAACAGAACCACAUGACCAUGACUUAUAUUCAUAUCAAGACAAUGUCAUAGGUGUAAUGACAAAACCAUCAAAUUACAACCCAUACUCUAACACAUAUAACCCUGGAUGGAGAGUCCACCCCAAUUUUUCAUGGUCUCAAGGAUUCCAACAGAAUGGACCAGCAGCUCUUGCUCCACCAAUGCAACCAAUUCCUCAAGUUCCUCAAACCUCUCAGCCCCCAUUUAGACCAUACUAUCAGAACCAGAACUACUCUCAACCCAGACCAUGGGAGGAUUAAUUCCAGAAUCUCAAGAAUCUUACUCACUCUACGAUCGAGCAACAGAACCGCAUCAUUGUUGAACUACGAAAUGAGAUGAGAGCAGCCUUCAACUCACAAGCCCAAUCAGUUUCAAGCCUCGAGAAGAUGGUAGGACAACUUGCUUCUUCAGUUCGGACUUUGACAAUGACUGUUGAGAAAGACAAGUUUCCAAGUCAACCAGUGCCUAAUCCUAAAAGAGUACAUGAAGCAAGUAUUAAUUCACCACAGCAGCACGGAGAGGUCAAAGCUGUCAUGAACUUGCGAAAAGGAAAAGAAGUCGACAACAAAAUAGAGAUGUCGGUGACGAAAACAAAUCAAAUUGUACCUAUAAAUGUUAAAGACUCACCACCGAAGGAGAAAGAAGAAACCAACCCACGAGAAUACGUUCCGAAAUCUCCAUUUCCUCAUAGGUUAGCUAAGGGAAAAAAAGGAAAAUCCGCCGGUGAGAUUCUUGAAAUCUUCAAACAGGUAAGUGUUAACAUCCCUUUGCUUGAUGCUAUAAAACAAGUUUCAUCUUAUGCCAAGUUUCUUAAAGACCUUUGUACUAAAAAGAGAAACAUUCAUGUUUAAAAGAAGGCUUUUUUAACAGAAAAAGUUAGUUCUAUACUCCAACACAAAAUUCCUCUAAAAUGCAAAGACCCAGGCUCCCCCACUAUCUCAUGUAGCAUAGGAAACCACAUAAUUGAGAAUGCUUUGUUAGAUUUAAGAGCUAAUGUAAAUCUGUUGCCUUAUUCAAUAUUUAUAAAACUUGGACUGGGAGAAUUACACCCAACUCCAGUGGUGUUACAACUUGCAGAUCGGUCUAGAAAAAUAUCUCGUGGUAUUGUGGAGGAUGUGCUUGUCCAGGUAGACAAGUUUUAUUUUCCUGUUGAUUUCAUUGUAAUUGACACUCAACCAAUCCAGGAUUCAAGGAAGCACAUCCCCAUUAUCCUAGGCCGGCCUUUCUUGGCAACUACGGAUGCUCACAUUCAAUGCAGAACAUAAAAUAUGCAGUUGUCUUUUGGCAACAUGACUAUGGAGCUAAACAUUUUCAACAUUGCCAAACAACCUCACAAUGCAGAUGAUGGAAUUGUUGAUGUGGAUUUAAUAGAAACAUUAGUUGAUAAUACUUUUCUUUCAAACCUUAGUGAUGACCUUUUACAAACAUGCUUAAUUCACUUUGGUUUGGAUUUUGAUAUUGACAGAUUGGUCGAUGAGAUCAACGCCCUACUUGACUUAGCACAAUCCAUUGACACAAAUAAAUGGAAGUCAAGAGUUGAACAACUAGCACCAUCAGAGAAGAAACUCAUCCCAUCAUUAGAAUUACCACCGAAACGCGAGCUCAAAUCAUUACCCAACACUUUAGAAUAUGUGUUUUUGGGAGAAGAAAGUACUCUGCUGGUAAUCAUCUCAUUAUCCCUAAACGACGAACAAAAAGGUAAGUUGUUGGAUAUUUUAAAAGAACACAAAGGAGUAUUAGGAUGGACCAUAGCUGACAUAAAAAAUGUAUAAAUCCAGUAGACUGCAUGCAUUAUCUUCACCUUGAUGAAAAUACUAAACCUACUAGAGAAAUGCAACGUCGGUUAAAUCAUAAUAUGAAAGAAGUUGUUAGAACUGAAGUCCUUAAGCUAUUAGACGCAUGUAUCAUUUACCCCAUUUCUGAUAGUUUAUGGGCCAGUCUUGUACAAGUUGUCCCCAAAAAGUCAGAAGUCACAGUAGUUACGAAUGCUGAUAAUGAAUUGAUACCCACUAGAGUGACUACAAGAUGUCGUGUAUGCAUUGAUUAUAGAAAGUUGAAUUCUGUCACGCGUAAAGACCAUUUUCCUUUACCAUUUAUCGAUCAAAUACUUGAUAGAUUAGCAGGUCAUGAAUUUUAUUGCUUCCUAAAUGGCUACUCAUGAUAUAAUCAGAUUCACAUAGCACCAAAAGAUCAAGAAAAUACCACUUUCACUUGCCCUUUUGGCACUUUUGCAUAUAGGAGGAUGCCAUUUGGAUUAUGUAAUGCACUUACUAUAUUUCAACGAUGUAUAUUAAGCAUUUUUUUCUAAUAUUGUUGAACGAUUCCUAGAAGUGUUUAUGGAUAAUUUUUCUCUCUUUGGUGACUCGUUUGAUCAAUGUUUAUAUCGUCUAACACUAGUUCUGCAGAGAUGUAUUGAGAAGAACUUAGUCUUAAAUUGGGAGAAGUGUCAUUUUAUAGUAAAACAAGGUAUUGUUCUCGGUUACAUCAUUUCAAGCAAAGGUAUUGAGGUUGACAAAGUCAAGGUAGAUCUCAUUUAUAAUCUUCCUCCACCCAAAACAGUAAGAGAAGUAAGAUCUUUCCUUGGGCAUGCUAGUUUUUAUAGACGUUUCAUCAAAGAUUUUAGCAAAAUUUCUAGACCCUUAUGCAAUCUACUUGCUAAAGAUGUACCUUUUAUCUUUGAUGAUUCAUGUCUUGUGGCGUUUGAAAAAUUGAAGCAGUUGUUGACAUCAUCACCCAUCAUUCAGCCCCCAAACUGGAGCUUACCAUUUGAGCUCACGUGUGAUGCAUCUGAUUAUACAGUAGGAGCAGUAUUAAGACGAAGAGUUGAUCGACUUCCUCAUGUUAUUUAUUAUGCUAGUAUGACAUUAAAUGAUGUACAUUUGAAUUAUUCAACUACUGAAAAAGAAAUGCUAGCAGUAGUGUUUGCAUUGGAAAAAUUUCGAUCUUAUCUCAUUGGUUGUAAAAUAAUUUUAUUCACAGAUCAUACUGCUCUUAAAUAUUUUCUUAUAAAGAAAGAUGCAAAAGCUAGACUAAUUCGUUGGGUGUUACUUUUGCAGGAAUUCGACUUGAAAUUUAAAGAUAAAAAAGGCACAGAAAAUGUCGUGGCUGACCAUCUCUCUCGUCUCCAUUUUGACACAAUUACAGAACCAUUAACAUUGAAUGAGUCAUUCCCAAAUGAAUAAUUGAUGAGUGUGGAAGUAUUACCAUGGUAUGCUGACAUCGUGAAUUAUCUUGUUACAGGUAAACUUCCAGAGCAUUGGACCAAGCAAGACAAAGGCAAUUUUUUUGUGGAAAUAAAAAAUUUCUUUUAGGAUGACCUUUAUCUGUUCAAGUAUUGUACAUAUCAAAUUGUUAGACGAUGUGUCCCAGAAAGUGAAAUUUAGAAUAUUCUUUCAUUCUGCCAUGAACAAGCUUGUGGAGACCAUUUCAGUGCUAAAAAAACAACUAUUAAAGUUUUACAAUGUGGUUUCUAUUGGCCAACUAUAUUUCGAGAUGCUUACAUUUUUUGUUCUUCAUGUGAUAGGUGUCAACGAAUGGGGAGCAUUACACGAAGGAAUAUGAUGCCACUAAAUUCAAUUUUAGUAGUUGAGAUUUUUUAUGUAUGGGGUAUCGACUUCAUGGGACAUUUUCCCCCUUCUUUUGGCAAUUAAUACAUAUUGGUUGUUGUUGACUACGUACUGAAAUGGGUAGAAGCAAUUCCAUGUAGAACCAAUUAUCACAAGGUGGUGAUAGGAUUUUUGAAAAGCAACAUUGUUUCACGCUUUGGAUUCCCUCGAGCAAUAAUCAGUGAUGGUGGUGCCCACUUUUGUAACAAAGCAUUCAAAACUCUUUUGACGAAGUAUUCAAUCACUUACAAAGUGGCGACCCCAUAUCAUAUACAAACUAGUGGUCAAGUUGAAAUCUCCAAUCGAGAAAUAAAGCACAUAUUAGAAAAAACGGUGAGGUCGGACAUAAAAGAUUGGUCAUUAAGACUCGAUAAUGCAUUAUGGACAUAUAGAACAGCUUUCAAGACCCCGAUUGGGAUGUCACCCUACAGGUUAGUGUAUGGAAAAGCUUGCCACUUACCUGUGGAACUCGAGCAUUGUGCAUACUGGGUCAUCAAGAAAUUCAACUUUGACAUGUAGCAAGCUAGUUCAGAAAGAAGAUUACAGCUGACAGAACUUGAAGAAAUUCGCACCGAUGCAUACGAAACUGCCAAGAUUUACAAACAACGAAUGAAAGUCUUUCAUGACAAGAAAAUUAUGAGAAAAUCUUUCACUCCAGGUCAGAAAGUGCUUUUAUUCAAUUCUCGCUUGCACCUAUUCCUAGGUAAGCUAUGCUCUUGAUGGUCUGACUCAUUUAUUGUUCACACUGUUUUUCCACAUGGGCAAUUGAAAUUAAGGACCCAAAGAACGGUGUCACAUUUAAAGUUAAUGGUCAAAGAUUAAAGGUAUAUCUAGAGUACUAACCACAUGGAGAGAACACCGAAAUAAAUUUGAGUGACCCACCAGAUUUGAAUUGAGUUUUUUUCUUUCUUUUCGAUGAUUUAUUUUUUUAUUUCUUUUUACUAUUCUUUUGCUAAUUGAAAUUAUUUUUGCAUAAGUGUGUUUGUUUAACCAUUAAGUUUUCUCUUAUCAUUGCUAACCAUGAGUGCCAUAGCUAAACAAUUCCUCUUGGACAUUCUUAGACCACUUCAACGUGUAAAAUCUCAUUUCAAAAGGCAGAUUCGAUUUUGUAAAACACAUCAUAUUUAGGCUCUGCAACCACCAGAAUUAGUAUCCCAUGUUGAGGAUUUAGAAAGCCAACUUAGAGACAUUGAGAGAGGUGUCUACAAGGUAAAUUCAAUAAGAGGACGAUUGUAAUUUUCUUUAUGUGUUUUAGCUUAUUUUUCUUUGUUUGUGUGCUUUAGUUUGUUACCCCGAUGAAGUGUCAGAUAACGGUACUCCGUGACAAUCAAGUCGGUUACUUCAGUUUCUCAUAAUAACUGAUCUUCUGAGGCAAAUGUAUGGACAGAAACGAGAUUCUAGCAAAUCUUCAUAAUCGAUUCCUUUCGCUUCCUCAGAAUGCCCUCCUUACAAUCUAUAAAGCUCGGUCUGAACGCAUGCGAUUGCUGAUGAGGAAUAACAUACCUACUGACAUCCGCUGGUUAAUCGAGGCAAAAGUACAAGUGGCAGGUGAGUUGCCUCCUAAAUUUAUUGCAUACAUGCCUAGUUGUGGUAAAGGAAAUUAUGCAAGAAAACGAAGAGGUCGAAGAAUUUUAGUUGCUUGCAUAAGUGUGCCAGAAUGAGAUGCAAUAAAAAACCAUGUUCUUUAGGAAUUGUGUCUGAUAAUAGAGAAGAUAAGAUUAAAUUCAUUACAGAUGGCUUGAAUAAUGAGUCAUUAGAUGAUAUCCUUUUGUCUUUUGAAACACACCCCAGUGGAUAUGUACAAGGAGCGAUUCUCCAGCUAUAACCAUUAUUCCAGAAAGAGAAUACACGAUAUAGUGUCGGGAAUCUAACUAUAAACGACCAUGUUUGCCAGUUUAUAAGAAAAUUGGAUGGGAAGCCUAUCCUCGACCUAUAGAGGGCGUUCAAGCCGUUUUUGGACGUAAAACCAGAGGAAGAUGUGAGCCACAGUCGCAACUACCUGUAAAUAUCUUUUUACUUCACUGUUAUUUUACUUCACUGUUGUUUUAUCAUUUGCAUUAUUGUCUUUAAUAAUUUUAUUUUAUCAUUUUUUCUUUUUACUGUUUGCUUUUUGACUCUCAAACCAGGGCCGGCUUUAGAGUUUGAGGGGCCUUCGGCGGAAUUUUUUUAUGAGACCUCUAUUAUUUUAUAAUUUUAAUACUCAAAGACAUAUAAAAAGAAUUUAUUUCAUCUUUAAUUCUUGAAUUUCAACAAUAAUAAAAAAAUCAAAAGUUUAAAAAAUAAAACCUAAAAAAUAGUCAAGAAGAUUGAUUUUUUUAUUCCAUUAAAACCAUUAAAAACAAACAAACAAAUAAAUAAAAAUAAUUUUAUUUUCAAAUAGAAUAUUUAGAAUGAUAGAAUAUAAAAAUUUUAAAAUGACGAGUUGAUGUUCAAAAAUAAAAAUGGACUUUAUAUUUUAAGAAACUAAGUAUUUUAAAUGAACCAAUGAAUAUAAUAAUUUUAUUUGUAGAGAAGAGAACAAGAAAUUUUUUUCAUUUACUAAUUCUUGAGAUUAUGAGGUUUUUAAUAGAAAUUAAAAGAAAUAUUAAAAGUCAAAUAUGCUAAUAUUGAAUAAUUGAAAAGGAAUGAAGGUUAAAGAAUACUAUUAAUUAUAUUUCUUUAAAAUUAAGGUUCCCAAAUGUAGAUUUUUUAUAAAAAAUAAUUCUUCGUUAUAGAAUAAUUAGGAAUAGAGAGAUAUCUAAUAAACUUUUUGAUUUCUUGAAAUACGUAUUAAAAAUAUUUUAUUAAUUAGAGAAUUAUUAAAGAAAUACUCAAAAAAUGAGGCUUUCUUAAAAUAUGAGGCCUUAGGCGACGGCCUUGUUCGCCUAUACCUAAAGCCACCCCUGUCUCAAACCAUGUGCUUUACGCAUUAAUUGACAUUGACAUGCUACCUCAUAUAUAGCUAUGACCCACUGUCACCAAGAUUCUUAAAUAUAAUUUGUUUUGUUUAGCACUCUCAAAUUAUUUUUGAGAAGUAUCCCAAUGGCAGCUACUCCAAAUAAACAAUUCAAGAAUAUUUGUGUGCUUUCUGGAUUUAAUUAUGGCAAACAUAAAGAGUUCAUUGAGGCAGCCAUAGAUCUUGGUCGAAGCAUAGCAGAGAGAAAACUACAAUUAUGGCAAACAUCUUGGGCCCAUCUGCAUAUUCACCAAAAACUCAUCGGUUUGUUAAAUGUUAAUAACUUUUAUGAUGGCUCUAUCGCAUUUCUUAACCAUGCAAUAAAAAACUAAUUUAUUCCUUCCACAGCGAAAAAGUUUUUUAUUUGUGCUCAUACUGCUAAUGAGGUACUUGAUCUGUUACAAACUUAUCGACCAGAGCCAGAUCCCAGGACCUUGGUGUUGGAGUAUCCAAAUAAUGAUGGUAACAGUAGCCGCAGUAAGAAGUACAAAUUAGAUUUAACUCUCCGCCUGUAAAUAUUUUCUUCUGUGUUACACCACCCAGGUGAUGUCUUCUAAACUCUACUUCUUUCCUUUAAAAUAUUGAGGACAAUGUUUCGUUCUGAUUGGGGGGAGGGAAUAAUCGACAAUUGUGGAAUCUUGGUUAAGUUUUUACUAAUUUUUUGUUGUAGAGACUAACUGUAGCUAACUUUUUGUGUUGAAGAUGGCUGAAUAUGGAAUGUAAUUACUCUAGAAACGAAUUUUCUUCGUUUAAAAAAAAACAAAAAAAUAAUAAUAAUAAUGUUGUUUGAAAAAAAAUUGUGUGAUUUGUUUUAACAUUGGAUGACAUGAUGAAUUUUAAAAUUUAGUAUUUGUAUUAUCUUUGGUCUUAAGAGAUGUUACGCCAUAUUUGCUACUCUACAUGUUGAUGUCGAAGACAAAUAUGAGUUGCUUGAAGGAAUAAACAUGUCAUAAUAAGUACCAAGUGAGUUUUGGAACCUAUCAUUUUUCUUGGAGAGUAACCAUUUUGCUCAUUCUUCAUACAACUUAGUAGUUUAUUAUUUUAUACACGAUCUCUAGAUUUCUUUUGAAUUAACCUUUAAAACAAAUUGAAAAAUUAAAAAAAAAAAGAAAAAAAUGUGUGUUGCUACAUCUAGAGGCUCAUCUAACUAGUAGACAUGGAAGAUUAUUUAGAGCUUUAAAAGACGAUGGAAAGACCAUCUUUGAUCCGUUUGAGCCUUUCUAGCUAUCCCUUUUAUGAAAUAUUCAUAGUUAACCCUUUUGAGCUUUUAAAAAAAAAUUUUUUUUUGGUCAAACUUAUCAUCUUGACUCACUCCGAUUUGGAGUAUUACCCGAUAUCUUACAAGUUCCAUCACCUAUUUAUUUUGAGAAAAAUAUAAAUAAUCAUGUUGUUCAGUGAAGUUGUGCCAAACAAAAGCAAAACAAAAAACAAAAACAAAUUGUUGUUUCAAAAAAAAGAAAAAAAUAACAAUAAUAGGUGAAAUCCACCUUGCAACUUCAAAAAAAAAAAAAACUCUAUAUUUUUCUUAAACAUACACUUUGUUUUCCUUAUUUCCCCUCCUUUGUUAGCCAUAUCCUUAGCCUACGUCACGUCUUAAUAAAAGACCUUCUUGAUUUUAAGGAACUAUAAUCUGAAGUAGAAGCUAGUUAUAUGGGCUAAAAAGAUAUAGUGAUGAAUAAAAAAAAGAUAAAAAUAAAUAAAUUGGGUUUACUAGCAUUUUUAUUUGACUUGAGAUCGUAUUAUUUUUAAGUUGAGGGUAUAUUUCUUUCAUCUUGUUGAAAGCGUGUGAUAUCACUUCUUUAUUAUUUUCUCUCAAUUACCAUUCAUUGGAGUGACUAUUUUUAUUGGGUUUAAUUUCUUUGUGAGAGUGUCACUAUUUCCAAUGAGAUUUUGGGGUUUAACAUGUCAUUCUUGAAAGUAGCUAUGACAAAGUCUACUGGGCAGAUUCAUGGGGAUGGUUGAUAUGUGUGUGAUGUUUCUUUAGACUGGAGAUAAUGCUUAUACUUUUAUUUGAUUACUAUCAUUAGUCUGAUUGAAUAAACAUGAUUGUUUAAAAAAAAAUCAUUUUGGAUUUGAAUUUUUUUUUCGCUUUAUUUGCUAGGGACUAGCAAUAAGCUGGUUGGGGGAUGUGUUGAGUGUUAGAAAAUGUAUAUUUAUAAAGGAGAAAAUCGUCAUUUUAUAUUUCACGUUUUACUAACAUUCUUACUUUUAUGUAUUUAAGUUUCUUGUGAUUUAAUUAUGUGUGCUUUAUUUUAAUUAAGUAUUUUAUAUAAUUUAGGGGCAUCAUGGUCAUUUCACAAUGAACUAGAGCUCAAACGACAAAACGGACAUCACUUUUGGACUCAGGAUAGUCGAAAACCUUAGAAGGAGUAUAAAAAGAAAAAUGGCAUUGUUCACAUGUACGAUACUAUUCACAUGUACAGUACUGUCAAUGUUACUGUUCACGACACUGUUUACACAUACGGAACGAUGACGUGGCAUUGACUGAUGAUGUGACAUUGACUGAUGAGGUGUCACGAUUCCAUUGAAGAAAAUUAUUAUGCACUGUUGAUCGGUGACGUGACAGUAUGUUAGUGGACCAAAAAUCACGCAUACGGUACAUGCAUAUACACAGGAUUAUUUUCAAUCAAAUUGCAUCACUGUUCAAGCCGGUUGACUGUUCAAACCAUGUGGUCAACCCGUGUCACUGUUCAAACCGCGUACUGUUGACUGAUGACGUGGUGCAAUCCUGAGCGUCCAAAUUGUUUUUACUCUAAUGGCCAUGAUUUACUCAAUGUAUCUAUAAAAAAAGGGCCUCUCCCCCUAAUUGGACAUCUCUGAAUUCAUUUUUGAGCUCAAUUUUCUCUAAUUCCUUCUCCAUCUUGUAUUUUCUAUGUAUUUUAAUAAAUUUCCAUUUUGCCCCUAGUUCAAUUAUGAGUAGCUAAUUUUCUUUCAAGCUUGGAUUGAAGGUGAAGUCUCAACAUGUGCCAUAAGCUUUAUUUGGUAAAUUUAUUUUCUCUUUCCCUCUAAUUUUUAGGAAUGUUUUGACUUUUCGUCGACAAAUAAUAAUAAUCUUAUCUAAAUACUGUCCUGGUUUCACCGGCUCCCUAGUACAAGUUAUUAUUAUUUGGCACGAUAAGCCCUUAGCACCAUAUUGAUUAGAGUGUGGUUCAUGAGGUGUGGAUUCCCCCUCAUGAUUUAAUUGGUGCUAAUAAGGAAUAUUUAGCUCAUGAUGCAUGUUGAUACGGAUCCAGAUACUCAAGUGCUUCAUUUCAAUAGAUUUCUCUUCAAUUUAUUCUGGCCAUUUUAAUUUAAAUUUUAAAAUAUUUCAAAUCAUUUUCACUACAAAUUCAUCCACCGAUUUGGAAAAUUAAUUCUACAUACAAUUAAAAUCAACCUCCUCGUGGGAUCGACACUCGUCACCAUUGAUAUAUUCUAUAAUAGAUUCGUGCGCUUGCGAGUUCAAUAAAAUUUGCACAACACUUUUCCCACAUUAUGCUCCUCCAAAUAUAGGAUGGAUUUGACCUUAUGGAAGCUCUAAGAAAAUCAGUCAUUGGGAAAUACCUUGCCUUUAGUACUUUAGCUGCUAAGGAUUCCGGAUUUUGAAUUAUUCUCCAACCUUGUUUCGUAACUAAGGCUUGGUUGAAACUUGAUAUGUCUCUGAACCCCAUCCCUCCUCUAAUCUUGGCUCUACUCAUUUCCUCUCAUCUUGUCCAGGGAAUGCCUCUCUUUUCUUUCUUCUUGCUCCACCAAAAACCAGCAUUAUUUCUUUGAAUGUCAUCACAAAGCCCCACGGGAAUCUUAAAGACACUCAUAGCUUAAGCUGGUACAACUUGUGCCACAACUUUGAUCAAGACUUCUUUCCCCCCACUCGAGACGAGUUUUUGCUGCCAAUUAGAUAUCUUGCUCUGAAUUUUCAGUUUGAUCUCAUUGAAAAAAGUCUUUUUUUUUUUCUCCCGAUCAUAGAUGGUAGCCCCAGAUAUUUCUCGUGUCUUGAAAUCACAUUGAGCUGGAAAAUUCUUUUAAUGUCUGAGGCCUGCUUUGCUGGAGCAUUUCCACUAAAAAACAUGCAUGACUUAUUAUAAUUGAAGAUUUGCCCAAAAGCUUUAGCAUAGCACUCAAAGAUGUUUUUCAAGUGCUGGCAGUCUUUGGUUGAAGCUUGAGAGAAAAUCAAGCUGUCAUCUGCAAAUAAAAGAUGAGAAAUGGAUAUUUAUUGCCCAAAUCUCAGCCCCUAAAUUUAUUUUUUCCUCUCAGCUUGUAUCAAUAAAUUUGAAAAUGCUUCAGCACAUAUUAUAAACAAAUAUGGGGAUAGAGGGCAGCCUUGCCUCAAACCCCUUUGAGGGGGUAAUCAUCCCCUGAGGAACUCCAUUGAUGAUUAUAGAAAAGGUUGGAGAAGUAAUACAAUUCAUUAUCAUAUUAACGACCUUCUCCUCAAAGCCUAAUCUACCCAUUGUCAACCUUAAAAACUCACAUUCCACUCUGUCAUAAGCUCUACUUAUGUCUAACUUCAGAGCCACCAAUCCUUUUUUUUUUCCUUUGCUAUGUCUAAUCUUGUGAAGGCAUUCAUACCCAACAAUGAUAUUAUCGGUUAUCAAUCUGUUGGAAAUGAAUGCGCUUUGAGAAACAUCAAUGACAUCAUGCAAAAUAAUUUUCAAUCUAUUUGCCACUGUUUUGGCAAUGAUUUUAUAGAUUACAUUGCAAAGGCUUAUUGGUUUGAAUUCCGUCACUUUCCUAGGCUUGGCACACUUUGGAAUUAGAGCAAUAUAGGUGUGGUUUAACGGGGUAAUUGUACUUGUGUUAUUAAGGAUGUGAAGGCAUAUAGAGAUAACUCCUUCCUUUACCUAUUUCCAAUGCUUCUGAUAGAAAGCAGCAGGUAACCCAUCAGGUCCAGGAGCCUUAGUUGGACACAUUUGAGCCAGGGCUUCUAUAAUCUCCUCCUUUGUGCAGGGCUGACUCAUGUCUGUGUUCAUUUCUGGUGACACUUUUGGCCUCAUUCCUCUUAGAGCAUCUUCCAUCUGAUCUUUGGUGGGGUUGGAAGUUAAAAAUAAGUCUAUAAAAUACUCACAAAAUUGUUUAGCAAUUUCACCAGUCUCUUUGAUCCAAUUACCGUGAGCAGCUUUUGUUCUCCAUAUUUUAUUUUUUUCUCUUUCUAGAUGAGGCUUUGAGAUGAAAAAAUUUUGUGUUUUUAUCUCCCUCUCUAAGCUAAUCCACCAUGGACCUCUGCUUCCAAUAAAUCUCUUCAUCCAGCAGGAGAUGGUGGAUCUGUCUUUCAAUACUUCUUAAUUCUUCAUUACUUUCAUACCUCCAUUUGUGCUGCUGAAGGUCCUUGAUUCUGUUGACCAGCUUUUCAAGCUUCUUUUUAUUGCCUUCAAAAGCCCUUUUGCUCUAGUGUAUGAGUUUUGCAAGCGAAGCUGUGCUGACAUGCUUAAAGAGCUUAACUACAUCAGUCCCCUCCCACUUACCAUGCUUGGACCAUUCCUCCUCAACAAUUUCUUGGCACUCAUUAUAAGAGCUCCAUAAAUCCUCGUAGUGAGUUCGAGAGAAACAUUUCCUCUUGUAUGCCCUUAUUUAUCUUUGCUCUUUACAGCCAUUAAUAUUGGGUUGUGAUCAGAACACGAUGUAACUAAAUUAGUUGCAGCUUGGUCCUGGAAGAAAUUUGACCAAUCGUUGCUGCACAUGAAUCUGUCUAAUUGUUCCUUAAUGAAGUGGGUUCCAAACCUCCUAUUGGACCAUGUGAAUGGGUAACCAUUGCAACCCAAAUCUCUAAGAUUACAAUCCUGGACAGCUUCUCUAAAAUCUGUGAUCAUACUAAGUUCCCUAUCGUUCCCCCCAUUUUUCUCAUUAAAGUGCAUAAUUUCGUUAAAAUCACCGAAACAAAGCCAUGGGGAUGAAGACAAACUUGCUAGCCUUCUUAGUAGAGUCCAUGUGUGUUUUUUCUGGUUUGUUUCUGGAUGGCUGUAGAUCCCAGUGCAUCUCAUCUGAUCUCCAUUUUCAGUUACUAUCUCUGCAUUAAUGUGGUGGCUGCUGAAGGAGGUGAUAUUCACAUUUGUUUCCAAAGUCCAUAACAUAGCUAAACCCCCACUCUUUCCCUUACUGCUCACUGCAAAACAAUUUUCCAUCUUUAGCUUUCUGCCAACAUUAUUCAUGCGUACAGUCUUCAGUUUAGUUUCACACAAGAAAAUCAACUGAGGCCUGUAUAAUUGGAAGAACUUUUUCAGAGCUAUGAACGUCUGGUCAUUCCCCAACCCCCGGACGUUCCAACUCAAGAUUUUCAUGGUUGUCGGCGAGGCUGCUCCUCAGCCUCCGCCGAUUGAAUUGCUGCAUGGUUGGUUUGUUCCUUGUCCACUGCAUCCAAAUCCUCCCAGUGAAGCUUGUGUUUAUGUGGAAGCCGAUUGUAAGUGUUGGCUUUAGCUACAGUAAUUUUGUGGGGCUUUGAAUUCUGGUUUUUUACACUUUGGGCUUGGCUUUGGUGAUUCCCCCCCCCAGCCUUUUUCCUCCAAUUGAUCCGUAUUUUGUGUGCCCUUUUUUAUUUACAUUUUUAACCUGAAGUUUCCAUUUUCUUCGUUUGAGCCUAGCAUUUUUUGUUCCUGGCCCCUCAUACACCACCUCAUCUUUUCUAGGGCUUUGACUAGAAAUUGUAGUUGACUCUAGAUUUGGCGCCACGCUCAAAUUGGUUCCCUCCCUAUUUUCUGUUCCCGCUUCUUCUCUCUGUUUCUCAUAGCCACUUGGGCUGUCAGUUAUGUUUACAGCAGUAGCUGUGCUGGAUUACUUCUGUACAUUCUCAUGCUGCUUCCUUGGUUCCAGCGUCAUUUGUAUUAAUUGCUCACCUGUCUUUAUUGUUUGGCUUUCAUGCUCACCCGAAUUUGGUUGGUUUAACCCGAGUUUGUUUUCAUCUGGAUCCAGGCCAAUAUGAUGUGGCUGACUUCUCCUCUGGCUCUCUAGCUCCGUGAGGCCAUUGUUUUGUUGCUCCCCCCUUCUAUUCCAUUUGUCUCUGCCUCAGUUUAUUCUGGUUUUUUCUGCUUUUGAUAGAGCCCUCAUAUAAACCCCGUAAGGCAGAUUUUCUUUUGAUUGCCCUUCAUAUAAUACACAUUCUUUGAACUGAUGCCCAAUAAUACCACAACAGAAGCAGAAGUCUGGAAGUCGUUCAUACAAGCCCGGCAAUUCCACCUCAUCGUUAUCUUCCAACUCCAAGAAUACCAUUUUUUCUAAUGGUUUUAUAAUGUUGAUGGAAAUUCUGACUCUCGCAUACGGACCAAUGCAUUCCCCAUCAUCAUAUGUUUCCACUUCCAGAACCUCUCCUAACAACUCCCCCAGUUUUUGAACAUUUUCCCGAUCCAUACAUACUAUAGGCACAUUAUGAAUUUGCACCCAAAAAGCUGCAUAUGUAAAUUCCUCCUUUCUCAUGUUUCCAAUCCCACUAGGUUCCUUUAGCACAAUCAACGAUCUGUCAAAAUGCAAGGUCCUCCUGCCAUCACCUUUCUUUUAUUUGUUUCCAAACCAAACUUAAAAAGAAAAAUAUUGUUUCCCAAGCUUUCAACUUUCACCUCUUUUAUUGUUCUCCAUGCUUGUGGUAAGGCGGUUUUGAUUCCUUCUGUUUGUAUGCUCCGUGCCAGCAGAACUUGCCCACUAGAGAGUUUGCAAUUAUGCGUCCUCCUUGCCCUUGUGUUCCACCCCUGAGUGAUAGUUUUCUUUCAUUGCCGUCUCGUAUGGAGAUAGCUUUGCAUUUCCUUAUUAACUCCUCAGUAUCCAUUGGUAUUGAAUACAUCAACUAACCUCCACCUAUUUACUACCCUGAGUUUUCCAGUAUUUUUUGCCUACUCUCACUUUUAUAAAUGCACUUCCCUAAUGACACUCUCUGAAAAGGUUCAGAACCAAUCACUCAGUCUAAUGAGUGAAGAAUAGAGCCAUUAAAGCUCAAAAUAUACUCCAUUCUUUUGCUCUCUUUCGGAGAGAAAGAGAGCAUUCAACCUUCUGGACGAACUUGUACUUGUAGGAUUGAUUAUGAGAAUGAUUAAAUAAAUUAUCUGUUAAUGUGAAAGAUUGUAAAGUAUUGUUCUGCUAUUAUUGGCAGCAUGUGCCUAUGUCAUAUGAAAUAGAAUCUGUACUUUAUAUGUACUUCGAAAUAUUAGUUGAUAGAAUUCAAAGUAGGAGCAAAUCACGGCAACCAGUAAUGAAACUUCAUGUGGGGCUCCAACGCAUUAACGAAGAAAUUUGUGUGGAAAUACAAUACUUGAGGUUUGGGAAAUGCUUGGACAAAGGGACACUUCUCGCGGCUAAUUUGGUGGCCUUAUAACGUGGCUUUCUUUUUUAUUUUUUCUUCCUUCGCUUUUGUCUUCAAAUUCAAUAUUAAAGUCAUUAUUUGCGUACUGAUCUUUUUGAACUAACUCAUUCUAUAAAUAUCCUAUUCAGUCUAUUUGCUUCUUCAUCAUAGAAAAAAUGGCUUUGUUUCUCUUUCUUUGCUUUGCACUCAUUUUCUCAGCUCUAAGCAAUGGUGGCUCUGCUACCACUCGAGUUAUUCGUCCUCCUCGAUAUCUUGACAGUAAGCAUUUGUCGGAUCCUUAACUUUUGCUUUUUUUUUUUUUUCAUUUUAUAGCACAUACAAAACCUGUAACACAUUUGAUUAUGUAUUAAUUUGCUAAUUAAGCUACCGUUUGUACACGGAAGUAAAAAAUAAAAUAAAAUUAUAAAUAUAUAUAUGACGUGUGCUGUUUUUACAAAAAUAAAACAAAAAACAGCCGGUUGCUUAUUUGGCUCCUUUAUUGGAGGAUAUUAUGUCACAUCGGCUGAGAAUAGUUAUUUAGUUAAUUAUUUAAAUUUAGGGUAACCCUGGACUCUUGAACUAGUUUCUUAAUCUAAGUUAAGUAAAUGGGGAUUAAAUAAUCUUAUAUUGAGUUUCUUUUUUCUAAUUGUUUGUGUAGUCGAUGUGUCUUGCCAUGUAAUUUUGGCCAUUUGAGUGAGAUUAAUGUUGUUCUUCUAAUUCAAGAAAGAAACAUCUAUUGUUUAUGCGGUAAAAAUCUUAAUUUUAAAAUAAAAACACACAUAAUAUCAGUGACUUAUUAUUCCACCGAAGUUAUAUCUCUGAUGUUCAUAAAUUUUUGGUCUAAAAUGUAUUUUAAUCUGCAGCACUUCUGCCAAAUGGAAACUUUGAACUCUCACCGAAGAAAUCAAACCUCAACAAAACGGUGAUACUCGGAAAGUGAUUGAUGCGCAUGGUAUGUAUUCUCAUAAAAUAUCGAAAUAUUGUACACGCAACCCAAAAAGUGAUAACAUCUGAAAGAAAAACAAUUAAUAAGGCCCUGACCUGGCUGUGGGUUUGUGUUCUCAAGUCUCAACUUUUGUUGAGGACACGAUUUGGAGUGGAUUCAACUAUUUCGCCAAUAUGGGUAAAGUAAAUGAGUAAUGACAAAAGUCAUAGACAAUUUUAAAUAAAUUGGUAUGUAUAAAUUGAGAUAAUAUAAAUAGAUUGGUUAAAAAGUGAUAAUAGUUUUUUUUUUAAACUAUAUAGGUCCAUAAUGAUUUUAUAUACUUAUUUGUAUAAGAUAGUUGUAUCUCUAUCAUUAUUCUAUUACAAAUAUAUGUAAGUAGCAUUAAUAAACUUUUGGUCUAUACUAUAAAUUUAUGUAUUUAGAUUCUCUGUGAACUUCAUAUUAUAGUAUCUAUAGAAUGCAACCAACCAAAUUAAAAGACAUUGUAUUAAACAUUUUAUUUGAGGAAAAAAGUUCUCUCUCCAAAUUUUUGGCAGAUGUGCAAUGAAUUUCCUUUAAAAAAAAGAACAAAAAAAAAAAAGAAAAAAGAGAGACCCAACCAAUAAUCUUCGAAAUCCUAGAGACUAUAAAAUAAGAUCAACAAGCAAAGAAGCCAAAAUACAAAUAAAAUUCUCACUAGGCAACCAAAAUAAAAGAAAGAAUAUAUUCAGAUAGAAGAUACAGAUUUAAAUUGUUAUGAUUCCAAUCACAUUAAAAAUGUAGGAUAGACAAUAUUUUAUAAUUAAGAGAUCAAAUGAUCAGGAUACCUUUAUCAGUUAAUCUCUCUUUUUUUUUUUUUUUCUUUCCUGUUCCCACUUGAACUUAAGCCCAGUGUCUGUGGUACAAUGUAUUUUGCUAGUGUUUACUAUAUUUACAGUCAUGAAAUGCAUAUGUUAUUGAAGUGAAAAAUGUGAAAGAUUAAAAUUUUCUUCAAUAUUUUGAUUUGCGGACCGAAUACUCUCAGAAUAAAUCUGUGAAGAAUCUUGUAUUUGCGCAGCAUCAAAAAAAUUAAAAGAAAGGGUUUAAAAAAGAAAAGGUAACUUGGAUAGGAAGGAAGAGAAAGGAAAGUGAGAAUGUGAAGGCCAAGAAACAUGGAGAUAACCUAUUUAUACGAGUGUGCAGUCUCUCCUUCUCAUUCUCAAAGCCAAAAUCUCUUACAUUAUCCUUUUUCUUUCACCUGGGUUUCUUCUAAAACAAAAGUCACCUCUCUGUCUCUAUUCUGUUGUCUCAAAAUUGAGAUAAGUGGUUAGCAGGGAAAAUUGUUGUAAUCAGUUUUGACAGAUAAUACAUUCUUUUCUUUCAGAAUUUGCAUGAAUUUGCAUGUUUAUUUAAUCCUUUUUUUUCAUACGUUACCUUUUGUUUGCUGGUUUUAGAAUUUGAUUAAAUGGUGGUUUCGUAAAUUUAAUUGAACAGUUUACUUCCUGAUGUUCUCCUGUGAAGUAAGGAUUAGACAAAAUAUCAAAGCAACCUCAAAAAACAUAACUGAAAAAUAGGCCUCGCCCGUGAAGUCAAGAGAGUAUACCACCUGUUUUCGAUGUUUCUCGAGGUUAAAGUCGCGUGAGACCAAAGAGAACGAGGAUACCAAAAAUUCAUCUGUGAGUGUUUACCAAAGUACUUCGAGGCUCGAGCUAAAGACAUCAAUACUAGACAGAGUCUUAAACAUGCCUUGCAGUGGCAGAUGAAUUUUGUAACUUGUCUCAAGUUCGGUUUCCGUACAAUGGUAAAAAAAAAAAAACACGUUGGGGCACCAUUUCAUUACAGGUGUAAUUCAUCAAUAAGUUAAAAGAGUAUAAUCUUUUGAUUUAUGUCGAAUUGAUUGGUGCUAUAAGAACCUUUAUUUGAUCAAUGGAUUUACGGGCACCCAUCUUUUUCAUAGUUGAUGUGGAAGCUUGUUUGAAAUCCGCUGUUCUCUUCCUGUAGUUGCAGAGUCUUCUUUACGAACAGACUCAGAUGUAAGAUUCAACACCUCACAACUUCAUUUGAACAAAACCACCCUUGAAUGAACCAUAGAGAGGUUGUGAUCUUCUGAAACUGAAAAUAUCAUCUAUGUGAACGAUGUGAGGCUCAGCUGAUUCACUAGUUUCUUCCUUCAACUCAGGUGCAUGCAGGCUCCCAUACACUCGAACACAUAGUGUCUUCUUCCGCGGUGCACCAGCUUUAAUAUUCUCGUUGAAAAAGUCAAUCAAUUCUUGUUGUGUCAGCUGCUUCAGUGCUGCAACCUGUUUGAACACUAAUAUUGUAUAAACCAACUACUUCAUAAUAUAAGUACUCAACUACAAGUGAAAAAGAUAAUUAUAAUUUGCUCAGGCCCCUAAGAAGGUUUACAGAGAGCAGAGGCUGCGUUCUUCAUGUCUCUUAGUUUACCUUUUUCUCCAAAAUAAAUUGAAAAUGAAUCUUCAAACAUACAAAAGUCUUAACCUGACUUGGUGAAAAAUAAAUAAAUAAAUUGAUAGUAAUUCCCAUACCUCAGCCUCCCUCCGAUCAAACUUGAGGGUCCCAUCAGAAAUCUCACGCCAGUAAAAUCCAGAUUCUUCCUUUAAAUUCUUGUGUUUCUCAAGCUUCAUAUCAAUCAAUGCAUUUACGUUGUUCUACAUGAAAAAAAUGCCAUUUUCACUGUUAAGGAGCCAGGCAUUUAUCCAAAAACACUCAUAUAAACAGAAUAUCUAUCUGGGAUCAUCAAGAAAAUAAUAAUUUCACAUAAAAGAAAAAAGUGGUUGAGACUGGGACAAUAGAUGCAAUUACAGAAAAAUUGGUAAGGAAUAUUAUCUCCUUUAAUAUCACCAAUCUCUUUCUUUGUACUUAAUGUAGUUCCAUUGCAUUUCAAGACUAGGAUAUGACAAAAUGAUGAUAAAAAGAUGGAAUAAUAUCAUAUUUAUCUCAUAUUAAUAGCAACUGUAAAAGCCUUGGCAUAUGUAUAUAAGCAUUAUCAAAUUAAUUCAUGCAGUUAAUAGUCUAGAAUUAAGAUUAGGGAAGUACUUUCUCUAUUCAAAACAUGUUAUCCAAAUGAUUCUUUUGAUAAUUCUAUUGGUAAAAGAUUUGAGCAUCAAACUUGAGCAUUACUGAUAUAAUAACUUCCAACCUUCUGUAGUGUUUAUAAAAACAAUCUCAUCAGUGAAAACACAGAGCAGAAUAACUCAUGUAGAAUAGAAAUGUGCGUUUCACCUUGAAUUGGUCACUGGUCAUCUCAUAAAGUUUACUUUCAAACAUCUGGAGGAAUGAUUCAACUCUCAGAUCAAUAUACUUCGGACCCUGUUAAAUUGACAGAGCACUUGAGGCAAAGCGACAAUAAUGCUGUCAAUGUGCAUAUUCAAAGAACAAAACUAUGCUAUCACCUUUACUGAGGAUUGAAUGAUGAACUGCACUCCAUGGAUACCAAAAUCAUUCCUACAUCAAGUAGAUAGCUAAAUUUAAAGCAAACACUCCAAGCUGAAGGAGAACUAGGGACCUCAAGUUAUGUACCUCUGCAGGAGUGCUGUAAUGUACCCAAGUUGCUCAACGGUUCUAAGCUGGUGGAAAGCUGGUUGUUUUGCAAUAAGAGCAAGAAGCUGAAGUUUCACAUUCAUAAGGAAAUCAUCUCGAUGAACCUGAACAACUCAACAUGACAUGACAUCAGAAUCGCAUCAGACCCCCCACAGAAACAAAUGGUUUGGUCAAAUAGAGAUCGAGAAACAUGUAAAAGAUUUUGUGUGACUUGUACAUCUAUUAUCCCUGUUGCAUGGGUACCAAUAACCUACAUUUCAGAAUCCAUGCCAGUUUGUCCCAAAACCAUAUAAUUCUAAAGCAACAAAACAAUAUUAACUCCAUGAAUCAAGGAAUGCUCGAGGAAAACCAAUGUCGCUUAGCACAAGAUAUAUAUUUUCAAGAAAUUGGACACAAAACUAUUUCUUUCAGAGCUUAAGUUCGGAGCCUCAUCAACAUGCAUAAAGAACAGUUGGAUGACAUGUAAUUCACUUAAAGUAAUGGCAAAAGCAACAUAUAAAUAGAUCUCAUCACAGUUUGUGCUGUCUGAAAGUAAUGGCAGACAUCAACACAUAAAUAAUACACACUGUAUGUUUGUCUUAAAAGUAAUGGCGAAAACAUUACCAUAAUUAUUCCUUAAUCACAGUUUGUUCAGUAGUUUAGGGUCUUAGCUGAAUAACCUAAUCAUACGGACAGUAAAGAGGCAAACCACUGUUCAUCAAGAAAUGACAGCCCAAACAAAGCCAUUUUAAAGCAAAAACCGCCCUACACCAUACGCGGGGGUCAAUUCACCGUGAAAAGACGGAAAAAGGCUCAACUACUUGCUAAUCUCUUUUUUUUUUCUCUCUCCUUUUUAGCCCCCUUCUCCCCCCCCAAAAAAAAAGGUAACAACUGGGGAGAAAAUAUUUGUUGAAACAAAUAUCAGUAUUUCAUCCCCUUUUCAUGAAAAUAUCUAAAAUUUGAAAUCAAUGCCUCCAACUACGAUACAGCAAUGGGAAGAAAGAAUACACUAGUGAUAAACAUGUGUCCCAAUAACAAUUAGAAUACUGCUCAAGAUUUUAUCCUCUUCCCAAAAGGAUACUUUCAAAGCUUUUCAAGUAUUAGAAGGGAUAAGAAAUGCAUGCAGAAUACCAGCUGCUUACUUUUACGAGGAGUUUAGAUGCAGCAUAUAACAGGUAUAUCAGCAGCCAAAGCACUUAAUUAAAUUAUUAUUUUCCUUUUUUUUUCUAAAAAAAUUCUUGUACCUGAAUAUAAUGGACUAGGCAAGAAUUUUCAUCACUAGGAUUCAGGCCUUGGUUGGAGUACACAUAAUUCUUGCCCUUUUCAAGUUUAACAACUCUAUUAGUCAAAUGCUGGGAUGGGAACAAUGGUUGGCAUAUUGGGUUUGAGCCCUUAAAGAAAACAUCUUCAGUGUACUGGAUAAUCGAUCCUGCUUCAUUAGAUUCAAUGUUUCCUGAAAACAAAUGAAAGUAAUGAGAUCAUAAAUGGAAACAAAAAGGAACGACCGAAAUCUCAAACAAUGCCAUUAAAAAAUUGAAACAGAAGGACCUGCUAUGUAACAUUCCAAGAAGGUCCUAGAGAGCAUCAUGGGUACAAAUUUAGCAAGAUCUUCAGCUUCAAGAUGAGGAAGAACUUCAAGUUCUUCCAUCCAAGGCCACGUUUGAUCCUGAAGUAUUAGAGAGCAGUAGUACAUAGCCAGUUGAUAUGGCUGUAGAAACUUAUUAUUAUGGUAUUCUUUUGUCACCAUUUCCUGCAAAUAAAUAAAGGGAAUGAAAAACUUUAUUCAUACAUGAACAGCUUGGGUUCAUAACAGACUCACCAAGGGAAGCAACAUGAUAAUGGUUCCAUACAGUGCAAAUGGGGAUUGUUAAGUCAAAAGUUCAACCAGUUGAGGAGUCGCUCACAGAACUAUCAAAUGCAAGUUCCGGAAGAACUAAAAAAAAGUGCUAAGACAUUUUUAGAAACAGCUUAUACACUUUAAUAAUCAAAUAUAAACAAAAAUAUAUUUUUUACCCUUAAUAUUUUAGUAAGCCCCUACCACAGUGAAGAUCCACUUCAGGGGGUUUGUGGUUGCUUAUGCAUGUGCAUCCACAUGAAUGGAAUCCAGGUGUAAAAGGUGAAAGAAAAAGAUACAUGCACGCCCACACCCAAAUGUACACCCCUAAAACCUUCACGCUGAAAAGCCAUGUUACUGAUUUGGAGCUCAAAACAACCAAAGCUAUGCAGGCUUUGGAACAGCACAACCAAAGAAAAUUAUUGUAAGCUCCCAAUUAUAAACAAAUAAUACUAGUACUUUGAUUCAGUUAGAUGUUUAAGAUGAUAAAAGAAAAUAACAUUCAAUGUCAAACAGGUCAAAUAUUUUAAGCCUAAAUCAUUACCUUAAUCACAGAAAAUCUGUCAGGUUUGACUUUGAAUUGUGCAAUUUUUUGAAAAAUAGUUUCCAGCAAGAUCCUCAAUUUGUGAUUAUAUCCAACCACUGUAACCUAUAGAAGCAAAAACCAUAAAAUCGACACAUAAAAAUGCAUACCAACAUGCGAUAAAUAUCAAAGGCAAGUGAUAACAUUACCUCAAAACCACUCUCAGUGUGGUUUAUCCCAUAAUCAAGGCCAGCAACCUGAGCAUAGUAAGCUGAUACAUAAAGAUAUGAUGGGUAAGGAAAAAAUUUAAUUUUAUUCACAAAUACAGAAUUAUGUAAAUUGUGGAAGUUAUGCUCUGUACCAGAAACAUAAGAAUUUUAUCAAAAUGAAAGAGAAGAUGAUAUGGAAGUGAACCAGAGGUUCACAAGGGAAACAAAGACAGUCCAAUAAAAGCUACCUACUAACCAUAUAGAACAAAUGCAUACCUAUACCUCAAACAGCAUACAAGUCCCAAAAUUUACUAAAAUGUGAAAAAAGCCCAAUCAAACAAAAUCAAUACAUGACCUCGGUCAACUCAACUAAACCUAAAUACAGGGAUCAGGUAUGAGAAGCCCUUUGGUAAUAAUCUGUUCCUUCAAUGAAAUUUUAGUAUGUGGAACUCUAGUUUACUUUGGAAAUCUUUCUCCCUUUAUUUAUUCUAUAAAAGUUUGUCUGUUUCCAACUAAAAAGAAUGAAAACAAAAGUUAAAAGAAAAGGAAUAGUCAUUUGUCCAAUCCUACAUCAACAUCCUACGACAUUUAUCCAGCAUCUUACCAUAUUCAUUCAAAUAGUCCAGUAACAACCGUGUGAAAAUAUCAGUCAGAACUUCAGAUUCAGGAGAGCUGCUAGCAUGGGGCAGUUGAAAUAAAUCUUAACAAAUGCCUUGGGUGUAGAGAACAUUGCGUCAGGCUUGUACCACAAUGUUGAAUAGGAUGACUUUCUCAACAGAACUGGGAAUUUGGCCUGUUACAAAGACCAAUUGCAUACGAACAAUUACUUUAAAGAGAACAUCACAAUAAAUUUUACUGUAAAGAUGGGGGAAAAAAAAUCCUGAGACCUCUUGUGCAUCCUUAAGAGACAAGUCAGUGGGGAUGAAGACAUUAGGAGCUGGGAGAUGCAGAUUUUCCUCAGGAGCAGACAGUAUCCAGUCCUGGAAACAAAUAAAGAUUUUGAAGACUCAUCAAUUCCUUCCUUCAAGCUGCUCUAAUCACGCAAAAUUUAUUUAGCUGCUUCCACUGAAUGUGGGACAAGAUAAAUAGCAUACACUCCAAUCUAAUAUGAACUUUUCCUUCUUGGAAAUCAUAUCCAUGAACCAAAAGAGAAACCCUGAAACCUCACCCUCCAUCUCAUUCUAAUAGCCAUUUGCCUCCAAGGACAUUGACCUCUGUUAUUAUUACUAGAAUAAUGAAUCAUAUCAUAUUUAAAAUCAAACAACGAACCUGAAUUAUGGACUCAUCGAUUUUCUCAAUGGAAUAAGUGGUACCAUACCAAGGCUCAACCAUGUCUGUUUUCCCCUCAAAUUGCUUUGACUCCCAAAAAAUCCUGAUAAACAGAGAGCUUAUUAGAAAGCCGACUAUCUGCCAAUCACAAUAGUCUGACUUUGAUUGCAAGAUGGAGACAGCCAAUUGUACAUGAAUUAUGAGACACAAACAUGUCCUUGAGCAUUACUACCAACAAGCAGAAAAAUGCAAGUAAUUACUCUUGAAAACAAAGUAUCAAAUCCGAAACUGCUAACCAAGUUAUUGGCAAUACAAUGAUAUUGAAAUGUUUCCCUUUUCUUUUAAACAUAAAGCAAUGGGAAGCAAACAAUUAGUUAUAUUACAGCAGAUAAUGGAAACAAGCAGAUAAGGCUUCACAUGCACAUGGAAUAGUUUAAAGCCAAACAAAAUUAUUUUACAAGAAAAAGAACUUAUCUUAUAGCAAGAAGAAUGGGAAUGAUAAAAAUAAAACAUCAUCCUGCCAUAGAAGUUCAACGAUAAGUCAAAUGCUUAAAUUAAGUUCGGAUAACUUCUACCAGAAUCAGGUACCAUGUCCAACAAAAUAGUGAACUAAAGUUAAACUUUUAAACAAUCAAAUUGGAACAGAUGUUAUGUACAAAGUUCAAACAACGGAACCAUGUGAGUCAUUCGUCAUAUGCACCGAGUCAAACGCUCUCUAGGCGCUUACAAACUUACCGAACAGUUUUUGGAGAAAGCUCAUUCAAAGUCAUUUGAAUAAUCUCUGGACUGAAAUUGGAAGGCAAUGAUUUACCCACUAGCCAGUCUUGAGGGGGAUAUGUCUGAAAAAUAAUUUCAAGGCAUCAUUUACUAACAGAAAAAACAGUAAUAAUUGACUCAUUCACAAUCAAAACAGACAACUGCAAAAGAAAGAUGUCAAUCAGCUACCAAUCCAUGAUUCACAAGCCCAAAUAAUCCUUAAAAUGUAGAAAAAAGAAAAGAAAGUCAAAUUUGUAAACUGUCUAUAAGAAUAGCACAAAGACUGGUUCUUGCAAAAAGCUGUUGGGAAUCUAAAAAAAGAGGUCCAGCAUUCAAAAACAAUGGUAGAACAAGAUUAUUAAUCUACUCACCAUAUCCACUUAUCUAUGUCUAACAUUAAACAAAAACAGCUUUAUGUGCAAGGGAAAGAGACAAUGAGGCAGGCAAGAUAACCAUAUUUUUCAUCCAAUCAAUCAUCGGAUAAAGGUAUUUUCUAGUGUUUCAAGUGGUGUUAGCAGCUAUGCCUCACAAUCAGUUCCUCAAGCUAUACUCCUACACUAUUCCAAUUAUUUUAAACAAUGUAAUAAAACUGGAUAUUUCGUUCAACCCAGCAGGAUUAACUUUACAAAAUGAAAAAGAACGUAUACCUCCAUAUAGGUAGCAACAGUAACCACAUAGUCAAUCGGGGGGACUUUAUCCUGAUAAUGAAAUGUCACCUCACAAACAGCUGAAAGCUUCAUAAGAUAAAAAAAAUGUCAGAAUGUUGAAGACUAGAUAGGCUGAAAACAAGACGGGCAACCUUCCAGAUGCAAAUUCAAUAAAUAGUAAACAAUUGAAGUACUGACAAGGAGAGAGUUGAUUAUCCUUCAAGCAAGAAUACAGCAUGACAAAACUUUUAAAAUAUUAUGAAAGACAUAAAAUGCAUGAUAAUAAUACAAAGCCAGAUUCAUUGAUGUGUUGGACUGCUGUCAUGAACUUUCCUUCCUUUCAGAUUGCAUGAAAGUAUAAAAGGAAGAAAAACUAGAGGGCAAUAAAUUUGAUGCAAUUUUUUUUCCUUUACACCGAGUAAAAACUAUUCUCAAACCUUCGGUGGAUAUACUGUGGGUGGCUAUACUCAAAUCUCUGGUGGUCAGCAGAACAAUUUCUUAAAAGCGUCCGUUAAGAUACAUCAUCUACAAGAACAUAUUCUUCCUGUUUCAACCAUAAUCCUAAAACUUAACAAUAGCAUGCAAGUAAUGUUUGAAUAGCAACUAUCAUAGUUCCCCCAUUUCACAUUUCUACAUAUACAUCAUUGAUACGGCCAAUUACAAUCACAAGUCAUUAACCAAAAGACCAACUUUUACCACAGCAUUGUAAGAACAAACUAUCGAACAAUAAUAGUAUCUCACAACUAAAACGUAAUGCCAUUAGCAGAGUCAAAUAACUUCUUGUUUCCAACAACAAAUAAUAGUAGUAGUAGAAAUAAGAAGCAAAAUAGAUACUAAGCUAACAGCCAAACCCCAACAUUCUCAGGUAGAAAAUUUAAUGCAAAUCAAUCAUCCUACCACUAUGCUCUUCAACAGAAGCAUCCUACAAAGAGGCAAGACUGCACGGAUGCGAGAAACAUGCAAUUAACAAUAAUACUAUGCAACAGUAGCAAUUAACAAGAUGCGUCAUCAUACCUCAUCAAAUAUCCAUUUGCUAGCACCAGACUGCCGUAAAAGGUUUAUGUAUUUAAAUAACAACCCCACAACAUCUUGCAUGUGCUCUGCUAGUCAAUCAAGGGGGGAAAAAUAUUUAACCCAAAAGAUCUACAAAUUGAAGUUAUUUGCAUAUUCUAGCAAAACAAAGUAAAUCAAUUGAUUAUAAUGAAUCACAUUCAAUUAAAUGCAGUGUGAGAUACAAAUGAAUUACCAUGACCAGAAUCAGUAAGAUCAACUGUAACUUCAAAGAAUGAAUAGUCCAAAGUCCAAUCUCCUUCACCUGCAGCCAAUGAUGUAGCCCAUCCUGCAAAAAAUUAUUUCAAAAAGAGGUGACUGGUCAGUUGGCCUUUCAAAGGUGAAAAUUUUUGGUGUGGAUAACCAAAGACCCUGAGCUAGUGUCAUCAAAUUGCACUUUGAUCUUUACACACAAAACAAACACAGACAUUAUCAACCAGAACAUACAUGUGCUUAUAUCAAGACUUCUUCCCACCCUGAAACUUGUGAAAUGGUUGCCAUCAUUUUACAAUCACAUUAUUUAUCAAUGAAUCAUUCCAAAGAUAUUCAUCAGUAGCUCAAUUCCUAAUCACGCAAAUAAAAUUUUCCCUUAAGCAUGAAAAAUUGCUCUCAUCAAAAUACCACUGCAUUCUUGGAAGAUCAUAGGCAACAACCGGAUAUGCUAACAUCAAAAUUAAAGAAAGUGCACUGCCAUACUUUACCUUUAAGCAAUAUCAAUGAACAAAUACUAAAAUAAAUAAACAAUUAAAUAUAUGAUAAUCAACACAAAUUAGUACAAGACAAAUUGUACAGAUUUCAGUGGACGUUAACCAAAGUCAUCAACAAUCCAGCCAUGAAAUGAGGAUCAGAGAGUGCUUUAUCCCCACUAAGCUGUUUGCAUCAAGCAGUGAUUCUUAAAAUUCUAGAGGAAAAUCAGUCCCUCAAGAAACCAUAACAUGCAGUAGCUUUGUAAAUUGUUUCUAACAUCCACACUAUGGAAAUAUGACAGGGUAGGCAUUGAAUACUCGGGGGGGGGGACAAUGAGAAAUACAUUGUAGUGAAAAUCUAAACAGAAUCAUUUGUCUGCUAACAUCUUAAAAAAAUUCAAAAUAUCAUUGUUUUAUGUAUUUUACUAUUCAAAUUAACAAAAACAAUUCAUUCUGAACUUGUAAAGAAGAAGAAGCAUCUCAAGCCUAAGGAUGUAGGAACACAAAUUAUGGACACUAAAACUUGGUUAAGUUCUCAAAUCAAAAAAGUUUCAGGAUGCAACCGAAAGCUGCAAGUACAUUGAGAAUCAGAAAUAUAAGGGAUAAGCAGAACCUACCCAAUGUUUUCAAGAUGUAAAACAAUGAUCCCUCUGACUCAUGCCCAAUAAGAUGACUGAUAUAUCUGCCUGGUGCUUCCUUGUAGUGAUGAACGCUUGGAGUUAUUGGCCAUCCAAUUCUUAGUUUGUGACCUUGUUUAAUUGGAACAGCCCUGGCAAGAAUCUGAAGCAAAAAAUAUAAACUAGGAAAAUUUGAAAAAAAAGGAAAAAAUUCUUUCCUACUUUCUGCAGUGUCACUUGAGACCCUUUGUCACCACAUAGAACUUGUGCAUACCUGUAAAUGUUCUGAUGUGCAAGGCUGACCAGGAAAACGGAAAAGAUUUCGAUCAGUGUUCCUAAUGUCCUGAAACUUAUUCUCCACUAGACCUUGAAUUUUAUCAACACUUUCUAGAAACAUCCAUCACAUAGGGUUGGUCAUUAUAUCUCAGAGUACUUCAGUCAAGGCCAAAAUACAGCAGGAAGAAUUAGUUCCUAACCUUUUGAAUACACAACCAGAUGCAUGAGGUUGGAAGAGUAAUGUUCAUUAUAAAACUUAAUGAGCUCAUGCCUUGUGUCCAAUCCUUUCGCUUUUGGUCGAACUUCCAAAGUUUCCCAGUUACCUAAACAUCAACAAGUACUUGAUAUAAACAUCUAUCUCAUUGAAACACAAUAUGCAGAAACUAGGGUGAAAAGGUGAAAGGAAAAAAAUCGUGAACACAAUGAAUUGUAGACAUCGACAGAACAACUUGGAAAUACAAUCAUUUUUUCAUAAAACUCUGAAAAAUUACUAAAAUGAAGAAAAUGAUAAAUGAAAAAGUAUAACAGAAUGUAACACUUUAUAAUAAAGAACGGAGAGAGAAUCAAGUAAGUUGCUGACCAGUGCUAAACUUAUGAUAUGGAUGAUCUUCUGAACUUAGAUGUUUCCGCAGCUGUACAAAUUUAAAAAAAAAAAAAAACAUAAAGGUAGUCAUUUCUCACAGAAACACUACCAAAACUACUACUAUGGUCAAAAGAUAUAACAACUUAAUCAUAAUUAACUUGCUGGAACUCAAAUACAAUCGUCAGGACCAGCUUUAUAAUUUAUGCUUUUAAGCCAAACAAAAAAUUAAUAUGAUAUGAACAUUAAUUUGACCAAGAGGUCUUAUAUUUGAAACCUCCCAUAUAAUUGCAUUCAGAUUUGUAUUUGCAUUUGCAUUAUCAUCUGCAUCUAAGUUAGUUUCUAUUUUAGCUUGAUCCACAUGACAAGGCUGUUAAUAAAAUUCAGAGGGUCUGUUAAUACUAUAGUUGAUAAAAUCCAGAUGGCCUGUUAAGGCUAUAGUUGACUAAUCUAUUAGCAUAAACUUUUAGGUCGAUUGAUGAUGAUGCUAAUUGUUAAAAGCAAUAAUGAUGACAACAUCAAUGAAGAUAAAUUACUUUCUUAUUUCUCAUUAAAAAGGGGGAAAAAGAACAACAACAACAAAAACAAGAUACUUGCUUAGUAAAAUCUCUUGGUACCAAUGCAAAGAUCUAGAUGGAAUCUUUUCUUCUCCAAGGAAGUUUCAAAGGUUGUAAAACAGGCCUUCGAAAAUAAACGAAUUCUACAAAAUUUGAUCUAAAAUUAUGUGGGACCUAUAUAUAAAUUUGAUACUUGGCAAUAAUUCCCAUUUAGCCUUAUUUCAAUGUUAAGCUUAACAACAGAAAUCCAAUCACUUGGCAUUAUUUUAGCUUGCUUAUAUUUUAGGAGUUAAUAUCUAGGUUUGAUUGAAUAGGCCUCACAACAGAACAUCAGUCCUUCUCUAUUAUAACUGUCCUGAUUGGCUUUUGCAUGAGGUCCUCUGUGGUUUUUUCUUUUUUUUUUAAAUUAAUUAAUUAUUUUUUUAUUUUGGGGCCACAUCAUUAGUAUUUGCAGUUUCCUAUUUAGAAUUUCAACCCUUUGGCGACUUCAGGAAAACUGGCAAGUCUCAUACAUUCCAGCCAAACGCUUUUAAAUGAAGAUCAGUUGCAC